rnacentral:lncRNA from 1 species
GCCAAACGAGCUAACCCAUCGGUAGAGCGCGGGUUUCGAUCCGGCGGCCAGGAUCGAUCCGGAGCAAGAUCCAACGGCCAGAAUAGCAUCAGGAAAACGAUCGGACGGCCAGGAAGCCCAAAUCACUGAGGAGCCGGGGUUUUCGAUCGGUCUCAUGUUUCUGGAUGUUCUUACAAGGGUGAAACUGCCCUGGUUAUCACUCAUCAGAAAUGACCAUCCAAGGACAGAGCCACUAAAAUAAGAACAUGAUCAAAACGGCUCAAAGAAACGAGGGGGUAUCCAACUUAAUACCCACAAGUGCCUCGAUUGCUCGAGAGCAUGCUUAUAUCAGCCAUAACCGAUCAUCAUAGCCCUGGCUAUGUCCCGUACAGUAGCCGAAGCAGAGGAGCAGGAGGAAGAUGCAGCUCACCGAGGGAGGUUGUAGCCAAGGCAGUACUCAGUGGGUGCCAGAGUUGCGGUUGAACGACGUCCAACCGGCGAGGAACCACUUCCUACACUCCUGAACCGGCAUAAAAAGAAGCAGGAGCUCAUCAUUUCCCAUUGCUCCUGAAAAAAUUGUAAAACAAACAAAAAUUAAUGCUUUGUGACUGACCAGCAAGAAUUAGAAAACUAAUUCUUAUAACCGAAGGUGCUCUGAACCCAAAUCUUUUCUUCAUAAACAUGGAGAAACUCUCAUCAACAGAGUAAGCUCGCGACAUAUAAAAAAAAUAUUAUAAGAAACAACACCAGAUAUAAGCUAACAAAAUUAAGUUUAGAAUAUACCCUAGCAAAUCAAUAACUGUACAAAAAUAUUGUGGGCUAAAUGGAAUUCAUAUAGGCCACUAACUAAACUGAGAGGAACCAAACUUUUAUAUUUUGACCAAUUUUUCCACAUUAGUCUGAAGCUCUUGUUAUUUUAUUUAUCCAAAUUAAGACUGUCAUUAUUUAAACCGGAUAUUCUUAAGCCUCUAUCUGAUUUAAGCCCAGAACAUAAAAUUAGAUGGCAAAAAUCAUGCAUGGACUGAACUCUUCAGCAAAAUAAUAUAUGUCUAUUCAAAGCUAUAUGUUUUCAGAUUGUUUAGGAUUAUUUUAACUGCUUUUGACAUCUUUGUGCUUGCUUGGCAUUUGGAUUCGGUGUACUGAAUUGAUACUUUGCACAUAUAUAAUACAUCUUUGUAUUUACUUUACAGAAGUACCUCAUUGGCUCCUAUUACCAAGACCGAUAAGAAUUUGGGCAGCUAUGAGAUGGAUAAUUUUUUGAACUUACUGAUGACAGGGAGGUUCAUUUCAAGGUCAAGAAGCUUAAAGCCAUCCAUGUCUAGCAUGUGCACAUCACUGACAACAAGAUCAAAUAUGUCUCUAUUUUCCCAUAGCAUCCUCAGUGCGAUAACAACCUGAUUCGUCGCCAUCACUCGACACACAACAACAUGUUACUCUUCCAAACUGUGUAACAAUACAAGGGAAAUGGUCCUAUGCAUUUUUCAUGACAACAAUCAGAUGCCUGGUGCAUCUUCUGUACUAUAAAAAGGGCAUCAUAAAUUCAGGUCACCCAAUCAAAUGAAUCCAUCCAUCCAGAGGUAACCAAUCUUUGGUUACAGGUAGCAUCUGAAAGUUAGCUGACCUGGCACAUUGGUCUUAUCUGAUUGUGAGAUAUGUAACCAAAGAUGGGUUACCUCUAACUAAAGAUUGUCUAAACUAUAGAAAAUACAUAAACUAUAUUAGCCAGACCCAAACAAAGUUGGCAGCUAAUCUCGCACUACACUCCAACAUGCAAAAACAACAGAUAAAAAGAACAAUUCCAUACCUAAACUCCUACCACUUGAGGACAAGGGGGAAAAAGCUAACGAUGCAAAGGAACAAAAGGCCCUGGCUCCCAGACAAAACUGUCCUCCUCCAUGACAAAUAAAAGGCUAGGUACCCAACAAAGCAAGAAAGACAACAAAAUUAUCUUUCGAUGGAAUCCAGCUAAACAUCAGCAUCUCCUCAACAGGAAGGCUCAGAUUCCACCUUUACAGAAGACAAGCAAAAUCCAGAUCACUAUGUAAUGUUGUUAUUCAGUAUUUUGGUAAAACACAACAAAGAGCUUUGUAUUCAGUAUUUUGCUAGCUGCUUGCCCCCUGCUUGAAAUGCGUAAAGAUGGACAUGGAUACAUUACAGAAAGAGAGAGUAUUAGGGUGGGAGGGGGGUUACCUAGCCCACCACCAAAGGUGCAGGGGCAUCCAAACUUGUCCGCUCCAGCAAAGGUCAACUCCAUCAGAGGAGAGGAGUGGCAGGCAGGGGAAGCCGACGCCGACGAGGAGCCUACCUGGCCUACCUGCAUGAGGAAGAAACCAAGCUCAUGGCCAUCUGCGAGAGGGGGAAGAGCAGUGAGAAGGGGAAGAGCAAAUCGAACCAAAGAUGGGUCCCCACCUUGACCUUGAGGAGGAGCAGCGCCGGCACUAUGGUCAGAUUAGAGUAGCGGCGAGCAGCAUCGCGGCGCUGCGUGGCGCCGGCAGGAGAAGCUCAGCGAUGAGGAGGGAUCUGCCCGCCGCCGCCACUCGGGAGCUUGGGUCUGCACCAAGGUCCAGGCCUUCUCAUCGAGUGGCCGCGGUCCCUGGUGGCGCGGUCAUCGGCCACGGCGAGCGGGACGGGCGGGGUGGGGCGGCGGGGCAUCGGCCACGGCGAGCGGGACNNNNNNNNNNNNNNNNNNNNNNNNNNNNNNNNNNNNNNNNNNNNNNNNNNNNNNNNNNNNNNNNNNNNNNNNNNNNNNNNNNNNNNNNNNNNNNNNNNNNNNNNNNNNNNNNNNNNNNNNNNNNNNNNNNNNNNNNNNNNNNNNNNNNNNNNNNNNNNNNNNNNNNNNNNNNNNNNNNNNNNNNNNNNNNNNNNNNNNNNNNNNNNNNNGGCGGGCAAGGCGGCGGGUCGGGGCGGGCAAGGCGGCGGGGCGAGGGAGGGGGCGCGUGUGCGGGGAGAGGAGGAGGCUAGGGUUCACCACGGGAGCCGGCCCUUUUAUACCCCCAUGUGAGCGAAAUGACGAAAAUGCCCUCGGCGGGGCAGCGUAAUUACGCGCGGUGGCACGAACGAGACGGUAACUGUUCAUUCCAGCAGUAACUUUUUUUGAUCCGACGGACGAGGUCGUUCCAGGGGUCGAUCCGACGACCCAGAUCCGAUCAAGCCACCCGAUCCAACGGCCAGGAAGCCCAAAUCGCUGAGGAGCCGGAAGGAUGCCUCUCAUUCUUAUUUCUGGAUGGUAUGUAUAGUUUUUUUUAACAGGUUUCAGGGAGGACGCACCCGGAGGUGAAGACAACGGCUCGCCGACGGAAGCAAGCGAGAGAGGCGCGCCCACGGCGACAGUGCGUACUUACACAUGCGAGAGGAUGCGGCAGUGGCAGUGACACCCAUCCGAGCUCGACGACGACGACGGCAACACACAUGAGGCCGAGCUAGCUCACGGCGAGCAUGCAGAUGGCCGAGGAGACGGAGAAACAGGAGCGUACCAAGCCCCAUUGACCAACUUUAUUUGUUACUAUGUCUUCUAUCUAUCAGGUGCUACAUAAAAGGGCAAGGCAAGAAUAACUAAGUCGGAGUGCCAUCAACCUGGAGACCAUGAAGAUGAAGAAAGUUGGGCACCCGGGAGAUAUGUGCAAUCUAUCAUACAUAUGUUUUUUUUCAUGUACCAGGUGCUAUGGUGGCGGCGUACGACGCACUCAACGGAGGUGGCUGCAAAUGACGCGGCGCUCUUCUCGUAGGAGCAGUUGAGGCAAUGGACGACACGCCCAAUGGAGGUGGCCGCGGACGAAGCGACGCUCUUCCCGUACAAGGUGUUGUCGAGGCGGUCGACGACGCGCCCAACGAAGGUGGCCGCGGACGAUGCAGCGCUCUUCUCGUACCCGGUGCAAUGGAGGUGGCGGACGAUGACACACACGGCGGAUGUGGCCACGGAGAAUGCGGCGCCCUUCUCGUACCAGAUAUAAUGGAGGCAUGGACGACGCCGUCGGACCAGUAGACUACAUCAACACCGUCAGGCCCAUCGCCAACAUCAUCAACCCGGUGCCACGGAGGACCGCGGUGUGGAGCUUGCGAGGACGACGCCGCCAUGCCAUGGAAGAUGGCGACACGGGGCCCGCCAGGACGAUGCCCGUCGUCUUGGUCAUCAAACAGGCGCCAUGGAGGACGGAGGUGUGGAGCUCCCGAGGAUGCCGCCGCCAUGCGCGGAGGAUGGCGACACGGAGCCCGCCAGGACGACGCCCGUCGUCUUCAUCAUCAAGUCAGUGCCGCAUAGGACGGAGGCAUGGAGCUAGUGGGACAACACCACGAAGUCUACCUCGUCAAGCUGGAGCCCGCAAGCCGGAGCCCAUGAAGAUGACACACGCCCUUGGUGCUGCCCGCAACACGGAGCCCGCGAUAUGAAGAAGAUGGCGCUAUGCGAUGACACAUCUUCACCGACCCUUACCACGAUUCUGCGAUGUGUUUCCUUUGUCUUGGCGGACCACCGAAUACGGCGUCCAACCAAGACGAGGUGCACUCUUCAUGGCGUACAGGUCUCAGGGUACAGGCGGCGUGCUCCUUGUCUUAGCAGACCACUGAAUAGGGCGUCUAGCUGAGAUGAGGCAUCCACCACGCCCCUCCAUGAUGCCAUUUUCUCUUCGAUACUGUGAUGUUUUACCCUUGUUCUGGUGGACCACUGAAUACGGCGUCCAGCCGAGACGAGGUGCACCCUAUGUUGCAUACAUGUCUCACCGUACGGGCGGCGUGGUCCUUGUCUUAGUAGACCACCGAAUACGGCAUCUAGCUGAGACAGGGCAUCAACCACGCCCCUCCAUGAUGCCACCUUUCUUUGGCCUUGCGGUGUGAUCCUUGUUUUGGCAGACCACCGAAUACAGCAUCUAGCCAAGACGAGGCAUCCACACGCCCGUCUAAGAUGUUAACUUUCACGGCCUUGUCAGGCAGAGUCUUUGUCUCCAUAGACUGUCGUAACCUCGGCGUCUAGUCGAGACAAGGCGCCAACCACACCGGCAAUGCCGAUGCGAGCGUGCGUUGGUUUUACACUGACGCCGGUCUUCACAAGAAUACUCCCGCGAGGUGAACCCCUUGCAUACCCCGACGAAGCCGCUACAUCCUCAAGAAGUCCGAGCCAAGCAGGACCCAUGCUACUCCAACACCAAUUACAUCAACACUGUCAAGACCAACGAGGCACGACGGCAUGGGCGAACGUGGCUAGCACAGGGCCAUGUUUUAAGCGGCACGUGUACCGACGAGGACACGGGCUUUGCCGCUGCCCACACCUACACACAUACCACCAUCAUCAUGCAUGGAGAACGCAAGGCGAAGACGGCGAAGACGAACGCACGACUUAAUCGGAGGUGUCUCAUGGAGUAACCCGCAGGAGUAAUUAACCGGGAGCCUUCCGAGGCCCCGGGAACCAAGAGACCGCAAUCGCUACAGUCAAGCUGGCCGCGCUAGUAGGCCAAAGAGCGCAUAUGUAAAGGGAACUUGUAAUUUUGUUUCUCCGAUGAGAAAUUAAUAAAGUGCAUGUUUCCCUAUAUUUAUUUGUGUACUUAGUACACUGGCACGCCCGCAAUGUUUUGUUUCCCCUGGAGCGUAGAGAGCUAAUAAUAUAAUAACCAACAUUAUUGUUGUUAUUAGUUUUUUCUCGUGUCAAACAAAUUGGUACGCCCGGUAGGACGCCCGUCUAAGAUGUUAAGUUUCAUGGCCUUGUGAGGUAGAGUCUUUGUCUCCACAGACUGUCGUAACCUCGGCGUCUAGUCGAGACAAGGCGCCAACCACACCUGCCAUGCCGAUGCAAGCGUGCAUUGGUUUUACACCGACGCCGAUCUUCACAAGAAUACUCCCGCGAGGUGAACCCCUUGCAUACCCCGACGAAGCCGCUACAUCGUCAAGAAGUCCGAGCCAAGCAGGACCCAUGCUACUCCAACACCAAUUACAUCAACGCUGUCAAGAGCGACGAGGCACGAUGGCAUGGGCGAACGUGGCUAGCACAUAGCCAUGUUUUAAGCGGCAUGUGUACCGACGAGGACACGGGCUUUGCCGCUGCGCACAUCUACACACAUACCACCAUCAUCAUGCAUGGAGAACGCAAGGCGAAGACGGCGAAGACGACCGCACGGCUUAAUCGGAGGUGUCUCGCAGAGUAACCCGCAGGAGUAAUUAACCAGGAGCCUUCCGAGGCCCCGGGAACCAAGAGACCGCAAUCGCUACAGUCAGGCUGGCCGCGCUAGUAGGCCACGGAGCGCAUAUGUAAAGGGAACUUGUAAUUUUGCUUCUCGGAUGAGAGAUUAAUAAAGUGCAUGUUUCCCUAUAUUUAUUUGUGUACUUAGUACACUGGCACGCCCGCAAUGUUUUGUUUUCCCUAGAGAGUAGAGAGCUAAUAAUAUAAUAACCAACGUUAUUGUUGUUAUUAGAUUUUUGUCGUGUCAAACAAAUUGGCACGCCCAGUGGGACAUGGCUCUCCUCCCAUCUUUGCUUCGCUGUUGUCAUCGAAAUAGUCUUCGCCAAUCUCCCAAUGUGCACAUCAUGCUGCAAGGAUCUCCAUCGGUAAGUCUCUUUCUUGUAGGUGAACUCUCCCAUGGCAGCAAAUCGGAGCCAGUGAUGAUCUAGUAUGGAUCAUUGCCACCCAUGGUCGUCGUCGAGCGCGAGAAGGUCUAUGUGCACCAAGCUCAAGAUCAUGUGCAGUUUCAAAAUGUGCAGUCGAAGAAGGCGCAAAGGAGGGAGGCCGCCAACGCGACGAAGGAGCGUCACAAGCUAAUGUUUGAGGCGUGUGCCCUGUUGAAGGAGUCAACAAGGGCAUACAUGAAAGGAGAUGUGGAGGCAGGUCAACCUGUUCGGACUACGGCCACCAACAAGCGGGCAAGUGCGGCGUCCCUCCACACCUCUGUCGGACUGCACACUCUGAGCGCCAACACCAACACCAUGGCGCACCAAGGGUGAAGUAUUGCAAGGCCCUGCUGUCUCCCUCAACCUCAACAAUAUUUGAAGAGGUGCAUGGGCGCCAUGUCUCCAUAACUCGGCGGUUGAUGGCGAUCAUUCUCCAACGGCAAUACGUUCACCGUUCCGUGCAGUGAGGCACGACACCAGGUGGCUAGGAUUCAAGGGUGAAGGUAGGAUGAGGCGCCAAUCCCGAAGUUAUCGUCCUCAACAUGAGAGCAUCGGCGACAGUCUUCACCAACUCGCCACUUAGAGCAGGGGACAUCCUAACAUGCCCCCACAUUGUAAACGAUGGUAAGACGUCAACACGAUGGGAGGAAUCCUAAACACUCAACAAUGGCGAUCAUAGGACCCUCUACGGUAAACACUUCCACCACGACAUACACCCUGUCCUUGGUGGGAAGCUCGGCCACAACUCAAGGAGGUGGCAUACAGGGCUGCAUCGUCCACUCGACACCAUGCGCCACCCCGUCCUCUCCAGGUGAAGGGUCUUCAAUGCAGCCACCAAAUGGAGCUCACCUGAGGUGAUACAUCACUCAUCCAAGGCGGGUACCGUCCACACCAUCAUCGAGUUUGAGUGGCCCCAAGAUAGGGCGCGGACUACACCUUCGUCAACAUGGCGUGCCCCCAAGACGGGCUUCAUCCACCUCUAUCGACACGGAGCUUGGUUAGGCAGGGCUCCUUUUUCACCUCCGUCGACAUAGAUUUGGAUAAAGAUGGCGCACCGUGUACACCACUACCAACAAGGAGCUCGCAUAAAGUCGGGUGUCGUCUACAUGUCCUCGGAUCUUGCCUGAGGCCGGCGCACUUCUUGUAUCGUGGUCGACAUGGAGCUCGCCUAACAGCAGGCAUCUUCUACACCAUCUUGAAGCUCAUUCGAGGCUGGGCGUUGUCAGCCUCCCAGAACAUGGAGGUCGCCCAAGCCGGGAUACCUACACCGUCAUCGACAUGCAGCCCAUCGAUGUUGAGGCACCAUCUACACAACCAUCGAUGUGGAGCUUGCCUGAAGCGGGCCUUGGUCGACACUACCGUCCAUGUGGAGCUUGGCCUGACAGGGAUCAUUCUACACUGCUGUCAAUGCGGAGCACGCCCAAGGUGUCAUGCAAUCUAUGCUGCUGAACCUGCCUAAGUUGGGGACGCUGCCUGCACUAUCACCGGCACAAGCUCACCCCAGGUCGGGUGUCUUUUACACCGCCGUUGAGGUGGAGCAUCGGCCAUACUAUUGAUAAUAUGGAGACCGCUCGGGCAGGUCGCCAUCUACGCCAUUGGAAAAGGAGCUUUCCUGAGGCGGGAACAACGUUUACCCCGUUGCUGAUAUAGAGCUCGUAUAAAGGUGGGCGGCAUCUACACCAACACAGAGCUCGCCCAAGGCGGGCGCACCUUCUACACUGCCACUGAGGCAGAGCUCAAUCUCUACACUUUUGCGGACACAAAGUCUGUCCAAGGCCACCUUGCAUGGUUUCAUGCUAACCCUGUGUUGCUGCUUGUUGAGGCGGCAAGAUCAUCAACAUCUACCCCAACAUCCACACGACGCACAUCCACAACAUCGCCCAAGCACCGGCGAGGCGAAGCUGUACUCCACCGACUUGUAUUUUACCGAUGAAGCAAUUCAUAUCUUGCCAGGCACCGACGAGGCGAAGGCAAGUCAUCCAGUCUGACACCGACAAGGCGGACACCACCAGGCCGGGCACCGACGAGGCGAAGGCCGCCCACUUCAUCAUUGGACAUUCAACAAGACGAAGGGAUAUGGCUAAGCAUGGCCAAAGCGAUGGGCGUACCACUCUCCCUUUCACUUCAUCACCACAUCCCCACCAUCUACACCAAUCCAAUGGCGCGAUCGAAGCCUGCAGCAAGACUCUCGGCGAAAUAUUCAAGAAGACGGUGACAAGGAAUAGGAGAGACUGACAUGCCUAUCUCUUCAAGUCCUUGUGGGCGUAGCGUGUUACAGUCCAUACCCCAACACAAGUAACACAAUUUUCUCUCAUUUAUGGGAGUGAAGCGGUCCUGCCAUUGGAGGUCCAGCUACCCUCUAUGCGGGUGGCUAUCCAAGAUGAGACCACCCAAGAUGAAUAGGUACUACUGCGGUUUUAGGAGCUCGACACCCUUGAAGAGGGGCGACUUCAUGCCCUAAAGAAGCUGGAGCUUUACCGCCAGAAUAUGGUGAGAGCUUACGACAAGCUCGUCAAGCAACACGUCUUUUGAAAAGGUGAGUUGGUCCUCAUGCUCAGGCGUCACGUCAUCAUCAUGCACAAGACGAAGGGCAAGUUCGAGCCAAAGUGGGAAGGACCAGACAUCAUCAAGCAAGUCUACGACGGGGGAGCAUACUGGCUCUUCUAUUCCCAGGGAGUCCGACCUAUGCCCCCAAUCAACGGAAGGUUUCUCAAAAAACAAAAUUCUUGAAAAUUUUGCCUCUUUUGUUGCCUUUUGGGUUUUCAUUGGGGAAACUUUUUUUGUGGGCUUUCGGAUCCAUGAUGCACACUCCUUAGCAUUUCGUGGAUAUAUCUAGUUUUCCCCAAUUUUUACGGACUAAUUAAGUCUAAUAAAAAAAUGGCUUCCCCUAUCGCACUAUGCUGUUGAUUGAAGUUUUGGCUACCCUAGGACUUGUUGGAGGGCAGCACAAUGUGUCGAUUUGCAGGUGGAGCGGCUCCUACACCCACAACGCACGACACAUACCAGGUGUAUGCUUCCGCAGGCAGCGGAGAUGACUACUUGGGCACUUCUGAUUAUUGAGACCCCGCGCUCUUCAUGUUUCCCGGCAUGCCUCAUGUUCACAAAGGCUCGCACUCCAGGGAAGACUAUAGGAAAAGAUCAUGGAGGGCUGCCUGACCCAACACAAGUUGGUUUGGUGCGUAGUCACAUUGCAACCCUAGGGUGUGCCACCAGAAGCCUCAGAUAAAGUGCUAGAGGGUUUUUCCUAGUCCACAGAGGUGAACAGUUCCCUUCCAAGUUCCCAAGGUGGGUCCCCAAGAAAUGAUGGAAGAAGAGUCCUCAAGAAGUUCGAGCCGAAUGUCAAAGCAAGUCCAUAAAGUCGGCGGCAAUCAAUCAUCCGUGUGGGCAAUCAAGAUGAAAUUCAAAAAGUCCAAGAAGAAAAUUCAAGAAAAGGAUCCCAACGGUCCAAGAAGCAAUCAAGCGGGAGGUAGCUGUUCACCACCCCUCAAUAUGCAUGAAGAAAAAUCGCUAAGCUGUUGUCCCAAAACCAUUUACCCUGAACUUAUCAUACCCAAGUCUCUGGGUUCAUGGGGCGUGUGCAGGGGGCAUGUCGAGUUGUGGGGCCCUCAAUAUGAUGAUGGGCUAGAGUAUGAAUUUCCGUUGCCUCUCGGAAGCAUCCCAAAACACGGCGUCUUCAUACACGUACACCGAAGCUAUUUAAGUUGUUGAGUUGCAAUCGUCAAGGUCUUUCGACGGUUCCCAAUGACAAGUUCCUUCGGUAGCCUUCUCGGAUAUCACGCCUAGUAGCUGGUGUAUAACGGCAAAGCCAACAUUUAAAAAAAAUGUUUUUUUCUUUUUCUUUCUUUUUCGCUUAUGUUUGUUUGGUGUUUCUGGUUGCGCUCCUCCAAUAUCUUUGCAGCCGUGGAGAGACGCUUCUUGUCUUCGUCGACAGCAUUCCGACGACAAACCACUACAUCGAACUACGUCAUGGGUGUCUGGGUGGAGCAAUACCCAUGCGUCCCUGACAACGCGGACAACAGCCCGGUAACCAAUGGUCUACACCGACACGCACGAUGGGCGCCAGAAGGCAACACCUGCGCUCACGAAGGUGAUGACGAUGUGUCUCCAUGGCCUUGUCUCCAACAACAAUGAAGCACGGGGGCAACAUCACCCCCUCAAUCAUUCGUAAUGCCGGCGGCAUCUCGGCGUACCACCAGAGUUGUCAUGCCAUGAAUGGUGUGAAGAUUCACUCAAUGAAGGAGAGCUAUCAACGGCUUACCGAUGCUUCACCUACAUCAAGCCAAGGAGAUCAUGGGAGCAGUGUAACGCGCCAGUGCGGCCAGCGUGAAUCUGUGAAACCCUCCAAUCAAGCCGGUUGGCAUCGUAACCUCUAGAUGGUCGCGGUGAGAUUGGUAAAAUUCUGGUUUUUGUUUUCAGGACAAGGCAUGUUAUUUCGCUGUCGAAUGAAGACGAAAUAGGUUGCUUCAUUGAUUGACAUCGUGCAUGUUAUACGAUCCAACGAGCUCCCUAAAGAACACAUGUCUGGAUGGACAUCCCUACACUAACACAUUGUUAUGAAUCAAUCAUCUUCAGAAUGGCGCGGACGUCGUCUUGAAGAUGUCAACUCUGAACCGUUUCUUCUGGCUGCAUAUGAAUCCCGCGCCAAUAAAAGGGUAAAAAGAAAGUCGUCGAGUCAAGCUCGAUUUGUUUUGCACUCAAGCUCAACUCGACGAGGGGGCAUUUGUUCGAUGGGUUUUUGUGCAGUGCUGCAUAAAAUAAUAACUUUUAGUGAGUUUUCAUGCAGGGCCAUUUAUAUGCAAAGGCAAGUUAAUUAAUAAUACAAAGAAAAAAAUUGGUUUAGCAUAGCACAAGCAUGCAUAGCAACUGCCCACGUUCUUGCACAUGCACGUGCAUGCAAUCUUGGUGCAAGUUGGACACAUCCUUGCCACAUGCACGUAGAGUAGAUGUAAUAAUCUAGUUUUGUACGUGUACGUAUUUGAGUAUCUGUGGCCGGCCGGCAAGGUCACGUUUAUACAUACUCGAAUACCUGCUCGUUGACAUACUCUAUAUAGGUAUAUAUUCGUAUUUGCGCCGGCAAGCGCGCAGAUAUACGCCUCCGACCAAUAUCAGGUAACUAAGAUGCUCACAAUGCAUUGUUUGGUAUGCAUAUGACUUGUUUGCGCACAUGAGAAGGGCUUGUGCGGCACAUUUGGAAAGUAAAGGAUCCAUCGGUGGCUAGCUAGCUAAAAUUGGCAAUACAUACACGGACCAUAUUUCAUUUUCUUUUUUUAUGCAGACUUGUGCAUCAAGAAGAGCAAUAAAAAGAAAGCUUUGGCCACGCCCAACCAGGGCUAGUCACCUACAAAUACGUGAAGAGAGCCGACGUAUCGAGGCAGAGAAUUGGACGCAGCCGGCGAGGAGACGCGUCCAAGCCGGCGGCAUGGAGUAGAAGGGACGCGGCGGCAACGAAGUCAGACGCCCCACAAAACGGGAGCGCAGUACACCACGGCAUGGAGAUGCACUAAAGGAGAUGCAUGCACGUGCAACAGCUAGCUGUGUUCUUUUCUUCUUAUAUGGUAUGUAUAGUUUUUUCUUAACAGGUUUCAGGGAGGAUGCACCUGGAGGAGAAGACAACGGCUCGCGCGACGGAAGCCAGCCAGAGAGGCGCGCCCACGGCGACAGUGCGUACGUACACAUGCGAGAGGAUGCGGCAGCGGCAGUGACACCCAUCCGAGCUCGACGACGACGACGGCAACACACACGAGGCCGAGCUAGCUCACGGCGAGCAUGCAGAUGGCCGAGGAGACGGAGAAACAGGAGCGUACCAAGCCCCAUUGACCAACUUUAUUUGUUACUAUGUCUUCUAUCUAUCAGGUGCUAUAUAAAAGGGCAAGGCAAGAAUAACCAAGUCGGAGUGCCAUCAACCUGGAGACCAUGAAGAUGAAGAAAGUUGGGCACCCGGGAGAUAUGUGCAAUCUAUCAUACAUACGUUUUUUUAUGUACCAGGUGCUAUGGUGGUGGCGUACGACGCGCUCAACGGAGGUGGCUUCAAACGAUGCGGCGCUCUUCUCGUAGGAGCAGUUGAGGCGGUGGACGAUGAUACGUCUCCAACGUAUCUAUAAUUUUUGAUUUUUCCAUGCUAUUAUAUUACCCGUUUUGGAUGUUUAUGGGCUUUAGUAAGCACUUUUAUAUUAUUUUGAGGACUGACCUAUUAACCGGAGGCCCAGUCCAAAUUGCUGUUUUUUUUGCCUAUUUUAGUGUUUUGCAGAAAAGGAAUAUUAAACGGAGUCCAAACGGAAUGAAACCUUCGGGAGAGUUAUUUUUGGAACGAAAGCAAUCCAGGAGACUGGGAGUAUACGUCAGGGAAGCAACGAGGUGGCCACGAGGGUCCAAGGCGCGCCCUACCCCCUGGGCGCGCCCCCACCCUCAUGGGCCCCUCGUGGCUCCCCUGACCGACUUCUUUUGCCUAUAUAUAUCCAUAUACCCCGAAAACAGCCAGGAGCACCAUAGAUCGUGAGUUCCGCCGCCGCAAGCCUCUGUAGCCACCAAAAACCUCUCGGGAGCCCGUUCCGGCACCCUGCCGGAGGGGGAACCCAUCACCGGCGGCCAUCUUCAUCAUCCCGGCGCUCUCCAUGACGAGGAGGGAGUAGUUCACCCUCGGGGCUGAGGGUAUGUACCAGUAGCUAUGUGUUUGAUCUCUCUCUCUCUCGUGUUCUCUCUAUGGCACGAUCUUGAUGUAUUGCGAGCUUUGCUAUUAUAGUUGGAUCUUAUGAUGUUUCUCCCCCUCUACUCUCUUGUGAUGAAUUGAGUUUUCCUCUUGAAGUUAUCUUAUUGGAUUGAGUCUUGAAGGCUUUGAGAACACUUGAUGUAUGUCUUGCCGUGUUUAUCUGUGGUGACAAUGGGAUAUUCGCGUGAUCCACUUGAUGUAUGUUUUGGUGAUCAACUUGCGGGUUCCGCCCAUGAACCUAUGCAUAGGGGUUGUCACAUGUUUUCGUCUUGACUCUCCGGUAGAAACUUUGGGGCACUCUUUGAAGUACUUUGUGUUGGUUGAAUAGAUGAAUCUGAGAUUGUGUGAUGCAUAUCGUAUAAUCAUGCCCACGGAUAAUUGAGGUGACAAUGGAGUAUGUAGGUGACAUUAGGGUUUUGGUUGAUUGGUGUCUUAAGGUGUUAUUCUAGUAUGAACUCUAUGAUAGAUUGAACGGAAAGAAUAGCUUCAUGUUAUUUUACUAUGGACUCUUGAAUAGAUCGAGCAGAAAGGAUAACUUUGAGGUGGUUUCGUACCCUACCAUAAUCUCUUCGUUUGUUCUCCGCUAUUAGUGACUUUGGAGUGACUCUUUGUUGCAUGUUGAGGGAUUGUUAUAUGAUCUAUCUAUGUUAUUAUUGUUGAGACAACUUGCACUAGUGAAAGUAUGAAUCCUAGGCCUUGUUUCCUAGCAUUGCAAUACCGUUUACGCUCACUUUUAUCACUUGUUACCUUGCUGUUUUUAUAUUUUCAGAUUACAAAAACCUAUAUCUACCAUCCAUAUUGCACUUGUAUCACCAUCUCUUCGCCGAACUAGUGCACCUAUACAAUUUACCAUUGUAUUGGGUGUGUUGAGGACACAAGAGACUCUUUGUUAUUUGGUUGCAGGGUUGUUUGAGAGAGACCAUCUUCAUCCUACGCCUCCCACGGAUUGAUAAACCUUAGGUCAUCCACUUGAGGGAAAUUUGCUACUGUCCUACAAACCUGUGCACUUGCAGGCCCAACAACGUCUACAAGAAGAAGGUUGUGUAGUGGGCAUCAAGCUCUUUUCUGGAGCUGUUGCCGGGGAGGCUAGGUAAGUGGCACUCACACCCCGUCAACUAAGCUCUUUUCUGGCGCCGUUGCCGGGGAGGUGAGUGCUUGAAGGUAUAUCUUUAGAUCUUGCAAUCGAAUCUUUUUGUUUCUUGUUUUAUCACUAGUUUAGUUUAUAAAAGAACAGUACCAAAAAAAUGGAAUUGAGUUUGCCUCUUAUGCUUCAUCUUUUUAAUAUCUUUCGUAAGUAUGAUGAAAAGGAAAAUUGUGCUCAAGUGCUAGAAGAAGAAGUCUAUAGAAUGUUUGAUACUAAAUCUUUGAAUGAUGAGUAUGAUUGCAAUGUUGUUAGUAUGAAUUCCUUGAAUAUCCAUGAUGCUAAUGAUAUGCAAAGCCACAAGCUUGGGGAAGCUAUGUUUGAUGAAGAUGAUAUUUUUAGUCCCCCAAGUUUUGAUGUGCAAAUUUAUUAUGAUGAUAGCAUGCCUCCUAUCUAUGAUGAUUAUAUUGAUGAAAGUGGGUUUGGAAGAGUGUCAACUUUAGGAAGUAGUGAUCCCACUAUUUUGGAGGAUGUUGAAUCUUAUUGUGAUGAAUAUGAAAGGGGAUUUGGAAGAGUGUCAACUUUAUUUAGUGAUGAUUCCACUAUUUCGGAAGAGGUUCCAAUUGGUUAUGAGAGCAAAGUUGCUAUCUAUGAUGAUUAUUGUGAUGACUUGUAUGCUAUUAAUAAUAGUGAUAACCAUGAAACUUGUCAUCAUGAUUUUAGUUUUCAAUUGGAUUAUGCCUCACAUGAUAAUUAUUUUGUUGAGUUUGCUCCCACUACUAUUCAUGAGAAGAAUUUUGCUUAUGUGGAGAGUAGUAAAUUUUCUAUGCUUGUAGAUCAUGAAAAGAAUGCUUUAGGUGCUGGUUAUAUUUUUGAAUUCGUUCAUGAUGCUACUGAACAUUAUUAUGAGGGAGGAACAUAUGCUGGUAGGAAUUGCAAUAAUAUCAAGUUUCCUCUCUAUGUGCUUAAAGUUUUGAAGUUAUGCUUGUUUUGCCUUCCUAUGCUAGUUGAUUAUUGUUCCCAUAAGUUAUUUGCUCACAAAAUCCCUAUGCAUAGGAAGUGGGCUAGACUUAAAUGUGCUAGUCAUAUUCUUCAUGAUGCUCUCUUUAUGUUUCAAUUCUUAUCUUUUAUGUGAGCAUCAUUGAAAUCAUCAUGCCUAGCUAGAAAGACAUUAAAGAAAAGCGCUUGUUGGGAGACAACCCAAUAUUUACCUUUACUGUUUUUGUGUGUCCACAUGAUUAUGCUACUGUAUUAAUCAUGUUUUAUAGCUUUUUGUUUCAAUAAAGUGCCAAGUAAGACCUAUAGGAUCUUCUUGGAUGAUAGUUAUUUGAUCUUGCUGAAAAUUUCAGAAACUUUCUGUUCACGAAAACAAUUGUUAAAAAUCACCAGAAAGUGAUAAAAUAAUGAUUUCAAUUGCAGUAGAUCUAUAAUCAAAUUAUCCAGGUUGUCCUAUUUUGGCAGAUUUUUAUGAGUUCCAGAAGUUUGCGUUAGUUACAGAUUACUACAGACUGUUCUGUUUUUGACAGAUUCUGUUUUUGUGUGUUGUUUGCUUAUUUUGAUGAAUCUAUGGCUAGUAAAAUAGUUUAUAAACCAUGGAGAAGUUGGAAUACAGUAGGUUUAACACCAAUACAAAUAAAUAAUGAGUUCAUUACAGUACCUUGAAGUGGUGUUUUCUUUUCUUUCGCUAACGGAGCUUACGAGAUUUUCUGUUAAGUUUUGUGUUGUGGAGUUUUCAUGUUUUGGGUAAAGAUUCGAUGGACUAUGGAAUAAGGAGUGGCAAGAGCCUAAGCUUGGGGAUGCCCAAGGAAUCCCAAGGUAAUAUUCAAGGAUAACCAAGAGCCUAAGCUUGGGGAUGCCCCGGAUGGCAUCUCCUCUUUCGUCUUCGUUCAUCGGUAACUUUACUUGGAGCUAUAUUUUUAUUCACCACAUGAUAUGUGUUUUGCUUGGAGCGUCAUUUUCUUUUGUUAGUAUUUGCUUGCUGUUAUUUAGAAUAAUGUUUUGCAUCUUUAGUUUCAAUAAAAAUGUCAAGGAUAGCCUUUACCAUGCUUAUUUUGCUAGUAUACAUGUUGCUGUUUGAAAACAGAAAGUUUACCGCUGUUGCAGAAAUUCCUUAGAAAAGUCAGAAUGUGAUAAAAUGUUGAAACCUUUUGCAUAAUAAUCUCUGAUAAAUUUACUACAGUGGGAAUUUUCUUUCAUAAUUUUUGGAGUUAGGGAAGUAUGAUGAAUCUUGCAUUCUUUACAGACUAUACUAUUUUGGCAGAUUGCUGUUAUGGUUGCAUUGUUUGCAUAUGUUUCCUUGUUUAAUGAUUCUAUUUGAGGAUAGGAGUGUUUUAUAUGCAGAGGCAUUUAGUAUGCAAUGUUGAAUAAUAAUUUUUGUGAUUUGUUACAGUAGAAAAUGAUAAGGUUUUGCAUUGGUUUAUACUAACCUAUCUCACGAGUUCUUGUUGAGUUUGGUGUGGAUGAAGCUUUUAAUAAAAAGAGGAACCAUGAUAUGAGGGGAAUUAAGGAGACACAAAAGCUCAAUCUUGGGGAUGCCCAAGGCACCCCAAGAUAAUAUUUCAAGAAGUCUCAAGCAUCUAAGCUUGGGGAUGCCCCGUUAAGGCAUCCCACCUUUCUUCUUCAACAACUAUCGGUUAGUAUCGGUUGAGCCUAAGUUUUUGCUUCUUCACAUGAGUUGUGCUAUCCUUGCAAUGUCAUUUUUUUGCUUGCUGUUUGAAUAAAAUACCAAGAUCUGAAGUUCUUAAAUGAGCGAGAGUCUUCACGUCGUUACAUAAUUAUCUAGCUACUCAUUGAUCUUCACUUAUAUCUUUUUGGAGUAGUUUUUCAUUUACUCGUGUGCUUCACUUAUAUCCUAUGCGUAAAUGGUUGAAUGAGUUGAAUGUCAUAAAUCUGAAAUUAUAUAUGUUUCAUUUGCUUAUCCCAUGGGGAGUAAUGACUUCACAUCUAAGAAGUAGAGGUUGUAAAUUUAUUAAAGGUUAGCAAGCAUUGUAUGGUCAUUUGAACAAUUCAUGAAAGAAUAUUGAAGGAAGAGAGAUUUCACAUAUAAAUAUACUAUCCUAGACAUCUUUUAUAAUUGUGAGCACUCAUUAAGUAUGACAUGCUAAAGAGUUGAUGUUGGACAAGGAAGACAAUGUAAUGGGUUAUGUUUUCUCACAUCUCAGUUAAAGUAUAUUGUCAUGGAUCAUUCAAACAUGUUGAGCUUGCCUUUCCCCCUCAUGCUAGCCAAAUUCCUUGCACCAAGUAGAGAUACUACUUGUGCUUCCAAAUAUCCUUAAACCCAAUUUUUGCCAUGCGUGUCCACCAUACCUACCUAUAUGCGGUAUUUACCUGCCGUUCCAAGUAAAUUUGCAUGUGCCAAACUCUAAACCUUCAAAUAAUAAUCUGUUUUGUAUACCCAAAUCACUCAUGUAGCGACUAGGGGAUGUCAGUAUCUUCCAUGCUAGGUGGGUUAUUCUCACGAUGAGUGGACUCCGCUCAUCAUUCACAAGAAAAAUGGCUGGUAACCGGGAUGCCCAGUCCCAUGAUCAAAAGAUCAAAAUCAAACAAAAUAAUUGCAAACAAAACUCCCCCAGGUUUGAUGUUAGUUGGAGGCACACGUCGUUUCGGGCAAGCCAUGGAUUGAUGAUUGUUGGUGGAGGGGGAGUAAAAACUUUACCAUUCCGUUUGGGAACCGCCUAUAAUGUAUGUAGUAUGGAAGAUAUUGGGAACUCUUGGUUGUUAUGUUGACAAUGAGAUCAUACCUCUCAAAAUUAUUUUCCUCUCUAUUUUAAAAUCGAGCUCUGGCACCUCUGCAAAUCCCUGCUUCCCUCUGCGAAGGGCCUAUAUUUUUACUUUUAUGCAAGAGUCAAGGUGAUCUUCACCUUUCCCUUUUUUAUUUUAUCCUUUGGCAAGCACCUCGUGUUCGAAAGAUCCUGAUAUAUAUAUCCAAUUGGAUGUAAGUUAGCAUGAACUAUUAUUGUUGACAUCACCCAAAGGUGAAUACGUUGGGAGGCGAAAUUAUAAGCCCCUAUCUUUCUCAGUGUCCAAUUGUAGAAGACUAUAUGAUGGUUGAGUAUGUGGAGUUUGCUAAAUUAAAGCUCUGACAUAGACCCUUCCUGAAAAUAAGAUGAAUUGCAAUUGUUUGAUGACUGAGAACAUAGUUUGCUAGUUUUCAAGAAAGUUUAUGGUCUAUGCUUUAACAUGUGAAUUGCUUGUUACUUGUUCUUGAGAAGUUUUAUGAGAUGAAUUACUGUUAUGACAUAUAAUCAUGCUAGAAAAGGUGAUUGAAAUUAUCAUUGAUCAAACUUGUGCACCUGCUAGCAUUCACACUUCAUAAAUUCUUUCUUUUAUCAUUUACCUACUCGAGGACAAGCAGGAAUUAAGCUUGGGGAUGCUGAUACGUCUCCAACGUAUCUAUAAUUUAUGAAGCAUUCAUGUUAUAUUAUUAUCUGUUUUGGAUGAUUAUGGGCUUUAUUUUACACAUUUAUAUUAUUUUUGGGACUAACCUACUAACCGGAGGCCGAGCCCAUAUUGCUGUUUUAUUGUCUGUUUCAGUAUUUCGAAGAAAAGGAAUAUCAAACGGAGUCCAAACGGAAUGAAACCUUCGGGAGCGUGAUUUUUGGAAAGGAUGUGAUCCGGGAGACUUCGAGUUCAAGCCAGGGAAGGUUCGAGGAAGCCAGGAGAUAGGAGAGCGCGCCCUUCCUUCCUGGGCGCGCCCCUGUCUCCUGGGCCCCUCGAGCGUCCCCCGACCGACUUCUUUCGCCUAUAUAUUCCCAUAUACCCUAAAACCAUCGAAUACGAAGAUAGAUCUGGAGUUCCGCAGCCGCAAGCCUCUGUAGCCACCAAAAACCUCUCAGGAGCCCGUUCCGGCACCCUGCCGGAGGGGGAACCCAUCACCGGUGGCCAUCUUCAUCAUCCCGGCACUCUCCAUGACAAGGAGGGAGUAGUUCACCCUCGGGGCUGAGGGUAUGUACCAGUAGCUAUGUGUUUGAUCUCUCUCUCUCGUGUUCUCUCUAUGUCACGAUCUUGAUGUAUCGCGAGCUUUGCUAUUAUAGUUGGAUCUUAUGAUGUUUCUCCCCCUCUACUCUCUUGUGAUGAAUUGAGUUUUCCUCUUGAAGUUAUCUUAUCGGAUUGAGUCUUUAAGGAUUUGAGAACACUUGAUGUAUGUCUUCCCGUGUUUAUCUAUGGUGACAAUGGGAUAUUCGCGUGAUCCACUUGAUGUAUGUUUCGGUGAUCAACUUGCGGGUUCCGCCCAUGAACCUAUGCAUAGGGGUUGGCACAUGUUUUCGUCUUGACUCUCCGGUAGAAACUUUGGGGCACUCUUUGAAGUACUUUGUGUUGGUUGAAUAGAUGAAUCUGAGAUUGUGUGAUGCAUAUCGUAUAAUCAUGCCCAGGGAUACUUGAGGUGACAAUGGAGUAUCUAGGUGACAUUAGGGUUUUGGUUGAUUUGUGUCUUAAGGUGUUAUUCUAGUAUGAACUCUAUGAUAGAUUGAAUGGAAAGAAUAGCUUCAUGUUAUUUUACUACGGACUCUUGAAUAGAUCAAGCAGAAAGGAUAACUUUGAGGUGGUUUCGUACCCUACCAUAAUCUCUUCGUUUGUUCUCCGCUAUUAGUGACUUUGGAGUGACUCUUUGUUGCAUGUUGAGGGAUUGUUAUAUGAUCUAUCUAUGUUAUUAUUGUUGAGACAACUUGCACUAGUGAAAGUACGAAUCCUAGGCCUUGUUUCCUAGCAUUGCAAUACCGUUUACGCUCACUUUUAUCACUUGUUACCUUGCUGUUUUUAUAUUUUCAGAUUACAAAAACCUAUAUCUACCAUCCAUAUUGCACAUGUAUCACCAUCUCUUCGCCGAACUAGUGCACAUAUACAAUUUACCAUUGUAUUGGGUGUGUUGGGGACACAAGAGAAUCUUUGUUAUUUGGUUGCAGGGUUGUUUGAGAGAGACCAUCUUCAUCCUACGCCUCCCACGGAUUGAUAAACCUUAGGUCAUCCACUUGAGGGAAAUUUGCUACUGUCCUACAAACCUGUGCACUUGCAGGCCCAACAAAGUCUACAAGAAGAAGGUUGUGUAGUGGACAUCACCCACAUGAUUUGGAAUUUAUUAGAAUACUCUAUGUGCUUCACUUAUAUCUUUUGAGCUAGAUAGUUUUGCUCUAGUACUUCACUUAUAUCUUUUAGAGCACGGCGGUGGUUUAAUUUUGUAGAAAUUGUUGAUCUCUCAUGCUUCACUUAUAUUAUUUUGAGUGUCUUUUAGAACAACAUGGUAUUUACUAUGGUUAUAAAAUUGGUCCUAGAAUGAUGGGCAUCCAAGUUGGGUCUAAUAAAAACUAUCAUAGGAAGUGAAUUGGAUGUUAUGAUGAAUUUGAUGCUUGAUAAUUGUUUUGAGAUAUGGAGGUGGUGAUAUUAGAGUCAUGCUAGUUGGGUAAUUGUGAAUUUAAAGGAUACUUGUGUUGAAGUUGGCAAGUCCCGUAGCAUGCACGUAUGGUAACCGUUGUGUAACAAAUUUGAAACAUGAGGUGUUCUUAGAUUGUCAUCCUUAUGAGUGGCGGUCGGGGACGAGCGAUGCUCUUUUCCUACCAAUCUAUCCCCCUAGGAGCAUGCGCGUAGUGCUUGGUUUUUUAUGACUUGUAGAUUUUUGCAAUAAGUAUAUGAGUUCUUUAUGACUAAUGUUGAGUCCAUGGAUUAUACGCACUUUUACCCUUCCAUCAUUGCUAGCCUCUUCGGUACCAUGCAUUGCACUUUCUCACCUUGAGAGUUGGUGCAAACUUCGCCGGUGCAUCCAAACCCCGUGAUACGAUACACUCUAUCACACAUAAACCUCCUUAUAUCUUCCUCAAAACAGCCACCAUACCUACCUAUUAUGGCAUUUCCAUAGCCAUUCCGAGAUAUAUUGCCAUGCAACUUUCCACCAUUCCGUUUAUCAUGACAUGCAUCAUCAUUGUCAUAUUGCCUUGCAUGAUCAUGUAGUUGAGAUCGUAUUGUGGCAAAGCCACCUUCAUAAUUUUUCAUACAUGUCACUCUUGAUUCAUUGCCCAUCCCGGUACACCGCCGGAGGCAUUCAUAUAGAGUCAUAUCUUGUUCUAGUUUUGAGUUGUAACUCAUGAGUUGUAAAUAAAUAGAAGUGUGAUGAUUAUCAUUAUUAGAGCAUUGUCCCUUAUAAAAAAAAGAAAAAAAAAGAAAGGCCAAAAAAAGGCCAAAGAAAAGAAAAAAAGGCCCAAAAAAAGAAAAAAAAGAAAAAAAAAGAGAAAAGAAAAUUAAAAAUAAAAAUAAAAAGGGGGACAAUGUUACUAUCUUUUCCCACACUUGUGCUUCAGAGUAGCACCACGUUCUUCAUAUAGAGAGUCUCAAUUGUUGUCACUUUCAUAUACUAGUGGGAAUUUUUCAUUAUAGAACUUGGCUUGUAUAUUCCAACGAUGGGCUUCCUCAAAAUGCCCUAGGUCUUCGUGAGCAAGCAAGUUAGAUGCACACCCACUAGUUUCUUUUGUUGAGCUUUCAUACAUUUAUAGCUCUAGUGCAUCCAUUGCAUGGCAAUCCCUACUCCUCAUGUUGACAUCAAUUGAUGGGCAUCUCCAUAGCCUGUUGAUUAGCCUUGUUAACAUGAGACUUUCUUCUUUUUUGUCUUCUCCACACAACCUCCAUCAUCAUAUUCUAUUCCACCCAUAAUGCUAUAUCCAUCGCUCACGCUCAUGUAUUGCGUGAAAGUUGAAAAAAGUUUGAGAUUGCUAAAGUAUGAAAAAAUUGCUUGGCUUGUCAUCAGGGGUGUGCAAGAUGAGAGCAUUCUUGUGUGACGAAAAUGGAGCAUGACCAAACUAUAUGAUUUUGUAGGGAUGAACUUUAUUUAGCCAUGUUAUUUUGAGAAGACAUGAUUGCUUUGAUUAGUAUGCUUGAAGUAUUACUAUUUCUUAUAUCAAUAUGAACUUUUAUUUUGAAUCAUUUCGAUCUGAACAUUCAUGCCACAACAAAGAAAAUUACAUUAAGGAUUAUGCUAGGUAGCAUUCCACAUCAAAAAUUCUGUUUUUAUCAUUUACCUACUCGAGGACGAGUAGGAAUUAAGCUUGGGGAUGCUUGAUACGUCUCCAACGUAUCUAUAAUUUUUGAUUGUUCCAUGCUAUUAUAUUACCCGUUUUGGAUGUUUAUGGGCUUUACUUUACACUUUUAUAUCAUUUUUGGGACUAACCUACUAACCAGAGGCCCAGCCCGAAUUGCUGUUUUUUUGCCUAUUUCAGUGUUUUGAAGAACAGGAAUAUCAAACGGAGUCCAAAUGGAAUGAAACCUUUGGGAGCGAUCUUUUUGGAACAAAUGCCCACCAGGAGACUUGGAGUGGAUGUCAAGAAACAAACGAGGCAGCCACGAGGGUGCCCGGCGCGCCCCCUGGGGGUGGGCGCGUCCCCCACCCUCGUGGGCCCCUCGAGCGUCAACCGACCUACCUCCUUCGCCUAUAUAUACUCCCGUACCUUGAAAACAUCGGGGAGCACCACAAAACCUAAUUCCACUGCCGCAACCUUCUGUAUCCGCGAGAUCUACCAUCUUGGAGCCUUCGCCGGCGCUCCACCGGAGGGGGAAUCGACCACGGAGGGCCUCUACAUCAUCUCCAAGGCCUCUCCGAUGAGUUGUGAGUAGUUUACCGUAGACCUUCGGGUCCAUAGUUAUUAUCUAGAUGGCUUCUUCUCUCUCUUUGAAUCUCAAUACAAAGUUCUCCUCGAUCUUCUUGGAGAUCUAUUCGAUGUAACUCUUUUUGCGGUGUGUUUGUCAAGAUCCGAUGAAUUGUGGGUUUAGGAUCAAGUUUAUCUAUGAGAAAUAUUUGAAUCUCCUCUGAAUUAUUUUAUGUGUGAUUAAGUUAUCUUUGCAAGUCUCUUAGAAUUAUCAGUUUGGUUUGGCCUACUAGAUUGAUCUUUCUUGCAAUGGGAGGAGUGCUUAGCUUUGGGUUCAAUCUUGCGGUGUCCUUUCCAAGUGACAGCAGGGGCAGCAAGGCACGUGUUGUAUUGUUGCCACCGAGGAUAAAAAGAUGGGUUUUAUAUCAUAUUGCAUGAGUUUAUCCCUCUACAUCAUGUCAUCUUUCUUAAUGUGUUACUCUCUUCUUUAUGAACUUAAUACUCUAGAUGCAGGUAGGAGUCGGUCGAUGUGUGGAGUAAUAGUAGUAGAUGUAGAAUCGUUUCGAUCUACUUGUCACGGACGUGAUGCCUAUAUACAUGAUCAUGCCUAGAUAAUCUCAUAACUAUGCACUUUUCUAUCAAUUGCUCGACAGUAAUUUGUUCACCCACCGUAAUACUUAUGCUAUCUUGAGAGAAGCCACUAGUGAAACCUAUGGCCCCCGGGUCUAUCUUUUAUCAUAUAAGUUUUCCAUUUACUUUUAUUUGCAUCUUUUACUUUCCAAUCUAUAUCAUAAAAAUACCAAAAAUAUUUAUCUUAUCUUAUUAUCUCUAUCAGAUCUCACUUUUGCAAGUUACCGUGAAGGGAUUGACAACCCCUUUAUUGCAUUGGUUGCGAGGUUCUUGUUUGUUUGUGUAGGUGCGUGGGACUUUUGAGGAGCCUCCUACUGGAUUGAUACCUUGGUUCUCAAAAACUGAGGGAAAUACUUACGCUACUCUGCGGCAUCACCCAUUCCUCUUCAAGGAAAACCAACGCAGUGCUCAAGAGGUAGCAUACGUCUCCAACGUAUCUAUAAUUUUUGAUUGUUCUAUGCUAUUAUAUUACCCGUUUUGGAUGUUUAUGGGCUUUACUAAGCACUUUUAUAUUAUUUUUGGGACUAACCUAUUAACCGGAGGCCCAGUCCAAAUUGCUGUUUUUUUUGCCUAUUUCAUUGUUUCGUAGAAAAGGAAUAUCAAAUGGAGUCCAAACGGAAUGAAACCUUCGGGAGAGUUAUUUUUGGAACGAAAGCAAUCCAGGAGACUUAGAGUAGACGUCAGGGAAGCAAAGAGGUGGCCACGAGGGUCCAGGGCGCGCCCUACCCCCCUGGGCGCGCCCCCACCCUCGUGGCUCCCCUGACCGACUUCUUUUGCCUAUAUAUAUCCAUAUACCCCGAAAACAGCCAGGAGCACCAUAGAUCGGGAGUUCCGCCGCCACAAGCCUCUGUAGCCACCAAAAACCAAUCGGGACCCUGUUCCGGCACCCUGCCGGAGGGGGGAUCCCUCACCGGUGGCCAUCUUCACUACAAAAAAAUACACUUCCGUGAUGAUACGUGUUUGCCACAGUAGGUCGCAUUUUCUUUCAUGCAUGUACAUCCAUGACGAUUUUAUGAUAGAAUCAAGAUAGUCAUACCUGCGUUGCCGUAGAAGUGUUCCAUGACAUUACCAAAAUUAUCAUCACGGAAGUGUCCACUUCCCUGACGAUAAAUCGCGCGUCACAGAAGUGCUUUUGUCAAGGGUGACCGACACGUGGAAUCCACCAUAACGGAACACCGUUAAGCUAUCAGGUCCGGUUUUGGAUCCGAUAACCCAUUAACAGCCCCGACCAAUGGGGAUUUUCCACGUGUAAAAUCAUCAUUGGCUAGAGGAAACACGUGUCGGCUCACCGUUGGGACAGAUGUCAUCCACUCAUUGGACCCAAGGCGCCUAUGAUACGUCGACACAUGGCACGGCCCAACAGAGGCCCAUUCCUGUGAAAAGGCCAGCCCGUUUGACUUGGUCAAAAGGUGGCGGGCCGGCCCACGGAAAGCCUGUUAACGGCCUGUCCGCAUAUAGCCCAUUUACAACCCGCUAACCCAGGGCCCGUUACGCCCUAUCCGAAUUAGGCCCAGUAGCAUCACCUAGGCCGUCCAAUAUGAUUCCAGCCAGUUUUAACUUCCGGCCCAUGUGUGGACCAUGACUUCUUUCGGCCCAUAUGAGGCCCUUUGUAACUCUUGGCCCAUUAACGGCCCGUGGUGAAACUGGCCCGUAAUGAACAGUGUAUCACUUUAUACCCAUGAACGACCCAUUAUUCCACUGGGCCGUUUCCAGCCCAAGUUAUCUUUCGGCCUUCUCAGGGCCCAUUUAUUCUUGGGCUCAUUUGCAGCAUUCGGUUACUUACGGCCCGUUACUGUCAUUUUCUGCUUGUGGGCCAAAUUCAGCCCGUCGUUACAGUCGGCCCGUUUGUGGACCGUUAAUACGUUGGGCCGUUUUCAUGUAAAAAAAAACCCGUUGGGCUGUUUUCAUACAGUUAUCAAAUACGGCCUAUUAACGACCCGUUAUGGUCCACGAAUAGUAUGGCCCAUGAUUGGUGAAAUGAUGAUAUGCCCCAUAGAAGGCCCAUGGAUCCUACGGCCCGUAGAAGGCCCAUGGACCCUACGGCCCGUAGAAGGCCCAUGGACCCUACGGCCCGUAGAAGGCCCAUGGAUCCUACGGCCCGUACAGAAGGCCAAUGGAUCCUACGCCCGUAGAAGGCCCAUGGAUCAUACGGCCCGCAGGAGGCCCAUGGUUACAACAGUCCGUGUGCUGCCAUGAUUAUUUUGGCCUAGUUACCAAAGAUAGGCUAUUGUGGCCACUAGAAAAACACAGAAAAAGAACUGCAGUGACUACAAGCAAAUAACUAAACAAGACAAUGGGGAAAUAAAUAAGCAAGCAAUUAACGCUAGCCUAUUACCGCUAUUACACAUAUUACAUCCACUGGGCAUCAAAGUUCGCCACCAGUGCAAAUAUAGGGAACAAAGCAGCAUAUUACAUACACUGGCCGUCAAAAUUGGCCACCAGUGCAAAUAAACGCGGCAGCAAAACAAGAGCAUAACUGAAAGAACUUCAGAAGAGCUCAAGAAACAUUAUCCUGGGUAUCCACCAUGCUGGCAAUAAGCUUAGCAAGCUUAUUAGCUUUGUCCUGUUUGGUGCUAAAAUCCUGCAACGCUUGCUGUUACACCAGAAAGUAUGCAUCUGAAUGCUCCAGGGACUUCCGCAGUCCUUCCGCUUCUUGUCGCAGCACAGCUGAUCGAUGUCUUUCAGCUUGUAGUUGAGACUCAAGAAACUGAAUUGAUUCAGACAGUGUGUUUGAAUAGCUUGUGCAAGCGGUAGUGGCCAGUAACUCGAACACUAAACCAAGACAGGACUUUGGGGUUAUCUCACUGUCUUCAAGAUGGUCUUCCUUAGCUGUUUUAUCAGCUUUAUUGGAGACCAACAAGGAUGUGUCACUAUCCUGAACCUUAUCUGCAUUACUUCCUUUACCAUUGCUUAAUAAGGCACUCUUCCCCAAUAUUCUGUCAGCAUUCUAAAAGAAGAAACAAGCAGACACAUAACAGGUUUAGCAUGUACUAGUAUAUGAAACUCAUUUCGGUGAACCAGUUCAUUAGUAAGGUGGACAGGAUUAAACUACCGAUUCUUCUAUUGCCAAGUACUAGUACAUAAUAAAAGCAUCAAACAAACAUAUAUCUAUGUCCUAUGGUCACUGCAUUGUCUUGCCAAAUCAAAAUAGAGACACGGUUCAAAUCAUAUCAGUUCAAGACAAGGCAGCAGUGAAAGAAUACAAAGCGCGGGAAACUACACGGCACAACAAGAUUUCAGAUGGGUACCACGGGUCUACAUGUACAACAACACUAUUGGCUCUGUUGUGAUGCUAGUAAUAUGCAUGAUAUGAGAAGUCAACUGUAUACACAAUUGAAAUUGAAAUCAACAAAGCUAUUGAUAAGAGCAAACCUGUUAAAGAAACAUGCGUGAACAUACCUGCUGUGACAUUGGAGUUUCGAUUGGAUCCUUCAAUUUAAAAAUAAGUUUGUAUGAGUAAAUACAGUGAUACAAGAGCAAAGCAGUAUGCACGAUAGCAAUCAUAGUUAAAAAAGGCGCGCCUAGGCUCUAGGCGUUGGCAAAACGCAUUGCGCAUAACUAUGCUUAAUCUGUGCAUAACUGUGCAUAAGCAUGCGCUUUGGUCAGUAAAGCGCAAGGCGGUGGCGAAACGCACAAUUAACGCCUAGCGCUUUUUUUGACUAUGAUAGCAAUGGAAUCUUAAAUUAGAACAGUUGUUCUUCAGGUUUAGGCACUUGUUCUACAUGAACAGAGUACAGUAAGAUGCAAGAAUAUAGUACUUAAAAAUAGAAAAUGAGCUCAUAGACCUUACCACAUUCUUGGUUCGGGACUAGUACAAAACAAGGCGUUCCCAGUCAUCGUCCAGUAAAUGUCUCUUAGGAGAACGUAAGGGAAUUUGAUGAGUUUCUUUGCCGGUGAAGUACGUUUUCUUCAGGUAAUUCCGAUAUUGCCACCAAGCAUUCUUGAAGAUAGCAGAGGUAUUAGCACAGGUUACCUCAUCAUGAGUUUCCAAAUCGGUCCUUCUCUCUAGAGAAAAAUGGGAAAAUUUGCUGUAUUAUAACCAUCAUGGAGGUAGGAUGUAUGGGACAAAGCAAAGUAAUUGCCAUGAAUAACAUUACUUACACAUAACUCCUGGACAAACACCUGCAACUGGCAUUUUCCUUCAUCUUCAGUAUAAUAUUUCCAAGAUGGGAAGAUACGCACAUACGAUUUAAGAACAUCAAAUGCGAUAGCUGCUAAACUACGACUAGCUGGUUGUGCUUCCUCCACGGGAAUAGGCGUACUAACUGGUUGAGUUGGGGUUCGCCGUGGUAGUACUGGCCCUUUGGGUACUGGAGGUGCCUUACUAACUGCUCUUGUUUGGGAGCUCUGUGGUGGAGAUAGUGCUGUGUCAACAGGAACUGGGUUACUAUCUGCUGGGGUUGGGGUUAGAUUGGGUGAAGCUGGUUCUCUGUCCAUCGCAGUAGGGGUACAAUCUGUGAGAUAAUUUGAUCCCAUUACGACGAGCAAUUAUGCACAGGACCAAAACCAAUCAAGAAAAGGUACGGCAUACAGGGAAUAACAUUGCACAUCCAGCAUAUAUUACAGGAAAUUACAUCCACUGGGCAAUCAAAGAUUGAUGCCAGUGCAAAUAAAUGAGCAGAACCUAACCAUCUACAACAUCACAAUGUGCAACCUCAGCACAGAUGACGCCCAUAAGCAUGUGGGCAAGUUCUUGCUGCUUUGCUACACUAUCUCUUAAAACAUUGAUCAGUUGUUGUGUCGCACGACUCUGCACCUUUGAUUCAUCCACCAUUUCCAUCAUUGCUUCAGCCAUUAAUUGGUUCACAAACAUACAUUUAUUCCGUUGCAUUCGAGACAGAGGAUACUAAACAGAUUCAGAUGGCGAUUUUGGCAGGCUUGUAUUAUUGAUAGUGGAGAGUGUCUCGACCACUGCAUCAUAACAUAGAAUAGGACGGGAACCAAACAGAUUAAUCAUGAGUUAUUGCCAUAUUACCUGGCCUAGAUUUACUGGAAAGAAACAAUGGGGUUGCCUUGCUGUUUUCAGAGUUUGUCUUCUUAUCUUCAGCAGCCUGCACAAAAUUAACACACUAGCAUUGCUAUCAUUGGCCAAGUCAGAUAAUAGGAAAGCAACAUUGACACAACAAACGUUUGGGCAACUAGCCUACACCAAAUUAACACAAUAUGGCACAGCUAUCAUCAGCCAGGUAAGGUAAUACGAAAGCAACAUUGACACAAUGAAUGAAUGGGCAACCAGAGAAGCACUACAAUUCAGUAAUGUGCGUGAUAUGAGAUAGUACAUUCAUGCAGCUCGGUAUGCAAAACUACCAGGCAGUUUUCCUUACAAAAAUCAACAUUGGCGCCUUUAACAUUUUGCUACAACUAAUUUUAGAUCAGAUAAAGGUUAGAUUCACGCCGAUUAACAAAAUACAUGCUGAUGUAAAAAUAUAGUGAUAUACAACAGGUACUUACAUCAGCAUUGGAGCACAGAGAAUUCCCGCAAGAUAUUUUCCUCGAAUACGAUCCCAACGGAGGAAGUCUUCUAUCAUUUAACCUUAUUUUCUAAAAGAGAGAUGGGUAAGAAACAUGUAGAAAAUAUGAUCAGAAUGCUAUAAAAUUUCAUGAUGCGAGGAUACGCACACGCUUCUUAGAAUGGAGUUGACAUUGUUUUGCUGGACUGGAGCGGACUAGUUCUUUGGCCACUAGAAUCUGCUUAUUAUCAGUGGGAGUUCGGUUUCUCUGUGCUGGAGCAGUAUCUAUGAAAAAUGGAGUUGGUUUAUUAUCUCCUAGCGUUUGGAUCUUUUGCAAAGACCUGGUUUGUAACACUUCAGAUUCUAACAUAGCCGUCUUCCCCUUGCAUGCCUUAUAUAGAAGAAUGGUGAUUAAGUUAUAAAACAUGCUACAGCAGAGAUGGAAUAGGUACUGAAGAAUAGAAACGCAUGACAUAUUGACAUGUAUUCCCUCCAUCCGGAAAUAAAUGGAUGGGUCUAGGCGUAUUUCAGUUCUAGAUACAUCCAGUUUUAUCCAUUUCUGCGACAUGUAAUCCGGAUGGAGGGAGUAUGAUGUAAGAGCUAGGGAUAAGACAGAACAACACAGUAAAAAAAUAGGAAGGCAUGACAUAUUUACAUGCAUGAUCAGCAUGCUAAGCACAUGGCAUGGCAACAGAGUAGAUACACUCCAGGACAUUAUAUGCAUGUUGUACCCAUAUCACAGGCCAAGUUAGAGCAAGGACCUUGUGGGGUGAAGAGGAUUCAUCAUCUUUCUGCAAGUCUUCUGAAGAACUGCCUUUACAUGUUCCAUCAUAUUGGGUAUCAUUGACAUCAAGUUUAUUGGCCUUUACAUUGCUCCAUGAGGUUCUUGUGGAUAUAUCAGUGUGUGCAAUUAUAUCUGACAUGCAUGGAAGACAACUAGUAGUUAGAUUUAUGCAAUGAGUGCCUGUAGGAGACGACAUAAAUAGUAGGACUGGGGUUAACUAGCAGCAAUAGGUCUCAUAAACUAAAGGGAGAACACAGAUGAAAGCUACAGAAUAUGUAUCGUUUGUACUCGAGAUUAACUAGAUGGCACACAAAAGUAUUAAAGAACAACAUAGGUAAUACUAGAAGUGGUAUAAUACUAUAAUCACCAGCCUGUGGGAUAGCAUUGGCUGAUGGAUGAUAACUAUGGAACAGUGUUACCUAAAGAACAAGUAUCUUAGCUGAACUAUGUUGGGGAACGUAGUAAUUUCAAAAAAAUUCCGACGCACACGCAAGAUCAUGGUGAUGCAUAGCAACGAGAGGGGAGAGUGUUGUCCACGUACCCUCGUAGACCGACAGCGGAAGCGUUAUCACAACGCGGUUGAUGUAGUCGUACGUCUUCAAGAUCCGACCUUUCAAGUACCGAACGUACGGCACCUCCGAGUUCUACACACGUUCAGCUCGAUGACGUCCCUCGAACUCCGAUCCAGCCGAGUGUUGAGGGAGAGUUUCGUCAGCAUGACGGCGUGGUGACGAUGAUGAUGUUCCACCGACGCAGGGCUUCGCCUAAGCUCCGCAACGGUAUUAUCGAGGUGUAAUAUGGUGGAGGGGGGCACCGCACACGGCUAAGAGAUCUCAAGGAUCAAUUGUUGUGUCUCUGGGGUGCCCCCCUGCCCCCGUAUAUAACGGAGCAAGGGAGGAGGAGGCCGGCCCUAGGAGGGGGCGCACCAAGUGUGGAGUCCUACUAGGACUCCCUAGUCCUAGUAGGAUUCCACCUCCCAUAUGGAAUAGGAAAAGAGGAAGGGAAAAAGAGAAGGAAGGAAGGGGGCGCCCCCCUUCCCUAGUCCAAUUCGGACCAGACCAAGGGGAGGGGUGCGGCCACCCUUGAGGCCCUUUUUCUUCUUUCCCGUAUGGCCCAAUAAGGCCCAAUACGUAUUCCCGUAACUCUCCGGUACUCCGAAAAAUACCCGAAUCACUCGGAACCUUUCCGAAGUCCGAAUGUAGUCAUCCAAUGUAUCGAUCUUUACGUCUCGACCAUUUCGAGACUCCUCGUCAUGUCCCCGAUCUCAUCCGGGACUCCGAACUCCUUCGGUACAUCAACAUACAUAAACUCAUAAUAAAACUGUCAUCGUAACUUUAAGCGUGCGGACCCUACGGGUUCGAGAACUAUGUAGACAUGACCGAGACACGUCUCCGGUCAAUAACCAAUAGCGGGACCUGGAUGCCCAUAUUGGCUCCCACAUAUUCUACGAAGAUCUUUAUCGGUCAGACCGCAUAACAACAUACGUUGUUCCCUUUGUCAUCAGUAUGUUACUUGCCCGAGAUUCGAUCGUCGGUAUCUCGAUACCUAGUUCAAUCUCGUUACCAGCAAGUCUCUUUACUCGUUCCGUAACACAUCAUCCUGCAACUAACUUAUUAGUCACAAUGCUUGCAAGGCUUAUAGUGAUGUGCAUUACCGAGUGGGCCCAGAGAUACCUCUCCGACAAUCGGAGUGACAAAUCCUAAUCUCGAAAUACGCCAACCCAACAAGUACCUUUGGAGACACCUGUAGAGCACCUUUAUAAUCACCCAUUUACGUUGUGACGUUUGGUAGCACACAAAGUGUUCCUCCGGUAAACGGGAGUUGCAUAAUCUCAUAGUCAGAGGAACAUGUAUAAGUCAUGAAGAAAGCAAUAGCAACAUACUAAACGAUCGGGUGCUAAGCUAACGGAAUGGGUCAAGUCAAUCACGUCAUUCUCCUAAUGAGGUGAUCUCGUUAAUCAAAUGACAACUUAUGUCUAUGGCUAGGAAACAUAACCAUCUUUGAUCAACGAGCUAGUCAAGUAGAGGCAUACUAGUGACACUCUGUUUGUCUAUGUAUUCACAUAUGUAUUAUGUUUCCGGUUAAUACAAUUCUAGCAUGAAUAAUAAACAUUUAUCAUGAUAUAAGGAAAUAAAUAAUAACUUUAUUAUUGCCUCUAGGGCAUAUUUCCUUCAGUCUCCCACUUGCACUAGAGUCAAUAAUCUAGUUCACAUCGCCAUGUGAUUUAACAUGAAUAGUUCACAUCACCAUGUGAUUAACACCCAUAGUUCACAUCGUCAUGUGACCAUCACCCAAAGGGUUUACUAGAGUCAGUAAUCUAGUUCACAUUGCUAUGUGAUUAACACCCAAAGAGUACUAAGGUGUGAUCAUGUUUUGAUUGUGAGAUAAUUUUAGUCAACGGGUCUGUCACAUUCAGAUCCGUAAGUAUUUUGCAAAUUUCUAUGUCUACAAUGCUCUGCAUGGAGCUACUCUAGCUAAUUGCUCCCACUUUCAAUAUGUAUCUAGACCGAGACUUAGAGUCAUCUAGAUUAGUGUCAAAACUUGCAUCGACGUAACCUUUUACGACGAGCCUUUUGUCACUUCCAUAAUCGAGAAACAUAUCCUUAUUCCAGUAAGGAUAAUUUUGACCGCUGUCCAGUGAUCUACUCCUAGAUCACUAUUGUACUCCCUUGCCAAAAUCAGUGUAGGGUAUACAAUAGAUCUGGUACACAGCAUGGCAUACUUUAUAGAACCUAUGGCCGAGGCAUAGGGAAUGACUUUCAUUCUUUUCUAUCUUCUGCCGUGUUCGGGUUUUGAGUCUUACUCAAUUUCACACCUUGUAACACAGGCAAGAAACUCUUUCUUUGACUGUUCCAUUUUGAACCACUUCAAAAUCUUGUUAAGGUAUGUACUCAUUGAAAAAAACUUAUCAAGCGUCUUGAUCUAUCUCUAUAGAUCUUGAUGCUCAAUAUGUAAGCAGCUUCACCGAGGUCUUUCUUUGAAAAACGCCUUUAUGCUUUGCAGAAUAAUUCUACAUUAUUUCCGAUCAACAAUAUGUCACUUACAUAUACUUAUCAGAAAUGUUGUAGUGCUCCCACUCACUUUCUUGUAAAUACAGGCUUCAUCGCAAGUCUGUAUAAAACUAUAUCCUUUGAUCAACUUAUCAAAGCGUAUAUUCCUACUCCGAGAUGCUUGCACCAGUCCAUAGAUGGAUCGCUGGAGCUUGCAUAUUUUGUUAGCACCUUUAGGAUUGACAAAACCUUCUGGUUGCAUCAUAUACAACUCUUCUUUAAUAAAUCCAUUAAGGAAUGCAGUUUUGUUUAUCCAUUUGCCAGAUUUCAUAAAAUGCGACAAUUGCUAACAUGGUUCGGACAGACUUAAGCAUCGCUGCGAGUGAGAAAAUCUCAUCGUAGUCAACACCUUGAACUUUGUGAAAAACCUUUUUCCGACAAGUCUAGCUUUGUAGAUAGUAACACUACUAUCAGCGUCCGUCUUCCUCUUGAAGAUCCAUUUAUUUUCUAUGGCUUGCCGAUCAUCGGGCAAGUCAACCAAAGUCCACACUUUGUUCUCAUACAUGGAUCUCAUCUCAGAUUUCAUGGCCUCAAGCCAUUUUGCGGAAUCUGGGCUCACCAUCGCUUCUUCAUAGUUCGUAGGUUUGUCAUGGUCUAGGAACAUAACCUCCAGAACAGGAUUACCGUACCACUCUGGUGCGGAUCUUACUCUGGUUGACCUACAAGGUUUAGUAACAACUUGAUCUGAAGUUUCAUGAUCAUCAUCAUUAACUUCCUCACUCAUUGGUAUAGACGUCACAGGAACUGUUUCUUGUGAUGAACUACUUUCCAAUAAGGGAGCAGGUACAGUUACCUCAUCAAGUUCUACUUUCCUCCCACUCACUUCUUUCGAGAGAAACUCCUUCUCUAGAAAGGAUCCAUUCUUAGCAACGAAUGUCUUGCCUUCGGAUCUGUGAUAGAAGGUGUACCCAACUGUCUCCUUUCGGUAUCCUAUGAAGACACAUUUCUCCGAUUUGGGUUUGAGCUUAUCAGGAUGAAAAAAUUUCACAUAAGCAUCGCAACCCCAAACUUUAAGAAACGACAACUUUGGUUUCUUGCUAAACCUCAGUUCAUAAGGUGUCGUCUCAACGGAUUUUGAUGGUGCCCUAUUUAACGUGAAUGCAGCUGUCUCUAAUGCAUAACCCCAAAACGAUAGUGGUAAAUUGGUAAGAGACAUCAUAGAUUGCACUAUAUCCAAUAAAGUACGGUUAUGACGUUCGGACACACCAUUAUGCUGUGGUGUUCCAGGUGGCGUGAGUAGCGAAACUAUUUCACAUUGUUUUAACUGAAGGCCAAACUCGUAACUCAAAUACUCUUCUCCACGAUCAGAUCGUAGAAACUUUAUUUUCUUGUUACGAUGAUUUUCCGCUUCACUCUGAAAUUAUAUGAACUUUUCAAAUGUUUCAGACUUCUGUUUCAUUAAGGAGAUAUACCCAUAUCUGCUCAAAUCAUCUGUGAAGGUCAGAAAAUAAUGGUACCUGCUACGAGCCUCAAUAUUCAUCGGACCACAUACAUCUGUAUGUAUGAUUUCCAACAAAUCUGUUGCUCUCUCCAUAGUUCCGGAGAACGGCGUUUUAGUCAUCUUGCCCAUGAGGCAUGGUUCGCAAGCAUCAAGUGAUUCAUAAUCAAGUGAUUCCAAAAUCCCAUCAGUAUGGAGUUUCUUCAUGCGCUUUACACCAAUAUGACCUAAACGGCAGUGCCACAAAUAGUUGCACUAUCAUUAUUAACUUUGCAUCUUUUGGCUUCAAUAUUAUGAAUAUGUGUAUCACUACGAUCGAGAUCCAACAAACCAUUUUCAUUGGUGUGUAUGACCAUAGAAGGUUUUUAUUCAUGUAAACAGAACAACAAUUGUUCUCUAACUUAGAUGAAUAACCGUAUUGCAAUAAACAUGAUCAAAUCAUAUUCAUGCUCAACGCAAACACCAAAUAACACUUAUUUAGUUUCAACACUAAUCCCGAAAGUACAGGGAGUGUGCGAUGAUGAUCAUAUCAAUCUUGGAACUACUUCCAACACACAUCGUCACCUCGCCUUUUACUAAUCUCUGUUUAUUCUGCAACUCCCGUUUUCGAGUUACUACUCUUUAGCAACUGAACCAGUAUCAAUUACCGAGGGGUUGCUAUAAACACUAGUAAAGUACACAUCAAUAAUCUGUAUAUCAAAUAUACCUUUGUUCACUUUUACUAGUCUCUGUUUAUUCUGCAACUCCCGUUUCGAGUUACUACUCUUAGCAACUGAACCAGUAUCAAUUACCGAGGGAUUGCUAUAAACACUAGUAAAGUACACAUCAAUAAUCUGUAUAUCAAAUAUACCUUUGUUCACUUUGCCAUCCUUCUUAUCCACCAAAUAGUUGGGGUAGUUCCGCUUCUAGUGACCAGUCCCUUUGCAGUAGAAGCACUUAGUCUCAGGCUUAGGACCAGACUUAGGCUUCUUCACUUGAGCAGCAACUUGCUUGCCAUUCUUUUUGAAGUUCCCCUUUUUCCUUUUGCCCUUUUCUUGAAACUAGCGGUCUCGUCAACCAUCAACACUUGAAGUGGUCUCGUCAACCAUCAACACUUGAUGUUUUUCUUGAUUUCUACCUUCAUCGAUUUCAGCAUCACGAAGAGCUCGGGAAUUACUUUCGUCAUCCCUUGCAUACCAUAGUUCAUCACGAAGUUCUACUAACUUGGUGAUGGUGACUAGAGAAUUCUGUCAAUCACUAUUUUAUCUGGAAGAUAAACUCCCACUUGAUUCAAGCGAUUGUAGUACCCAGACAAUCUGAGCACAUGCUCAGUAGUUGAGCGAUUCUCCUCCAUCUUUUUGCUAUAGAACUUGUUGGAGAUUUCAUAUCUCUCAACUUGGGUAUUUGCUUGAAAUAUUAACUUCAACUCCUGGAACAUCUCAUAUGGUCCAUGACGUUCAAAAUGUUUUUGAAGUCUCGAUUCUAAGCCGUUAAGCAUGGUGCACUAAACUAUCAAGUAGUCAUCAUAUUGAGCUAGCCAAACGUUCAUAACGUCUGCAUCUGCUCUUGCAAUAGGUCUGUCACCUAGCGGUGCAUCAAGGACAUAAUUUUUCUGUGCAGCAAUGAGGAUAAUCCUCAUAUCAUGGAUCCAAUCCGCAUCUUUGCUACUAACAUCUUUCAACAUAAUUUUUCUCUAGGAACAAAAGAUAAACACAGGGAAGCAACAACGCGAGCUAUUGAUCUACAACAUAAUUUGCAAAAUACUAUCAGGACUAAGAUCAUCAUAAAUUUAAGUUUAAUUAAUCAUAUUACUUAAGAACUCCCACUUAGAUAGACAUCUCUCUAAUCAUCUAAGUGAUUACGUGAUCCAAAGCAACUAAACCAUGUCCGAUUAACACGUGAGAUGGAGUAGUUUCAAUGGUGAACAUCACUAUGUUGAUCAUAUCUACUAUAUGAUUCACGCUCGACCUUUCGGUCUCCGUGUUCCGAGGCCAUAUCUGUAUAUGCUAGGCUCGUCAAGUUUAACCUGAGUAUUCCGCGUGUGCAACUGUUUUGCACCCGUUGUAUUUGAACGUAGAGCCUAUCACACCCGAUUAACACGUGGUGUCUCAGCACGAAGAACUUUUGCAACGGUGCAUACUUAGGGAGAACACUUUUAUCUUGAAAUUUUAGUGAGAGCUCAUCUUAUAAUGCUACCGUCAAUCAAAGAAAGAUAAGAUGCAUAAAGGAUUAACAUCACAUGCAAUCAAUAUAAGUGAUAUGAUAUGGCCAUCAUCAUCUUGUGCUUGUGAUCUCCAUCUCCGAAGCACCGUGCUUGUGAUCUCCAUCUUCGAAGCACCGUCAUGAUCACCAUCGUCACCGGCGCGACACCUUGAUCUCCAUCGUAGCAUCGUUGUCGUCUCGCCAACUUAUUGCUUUUACGACUAUCGCUACCGCUUAGUGAUAAAGUAAAACUAUUACAUGGCGAAUGCAUCUCAUACAAUAAAGCGACAACCAUAUGGCUCCUGCCAGUUGCCGAUAACUCGAUUACAAAACAUGAUCAUCUCAUACAACACAUUAUAUCACAUCAUGUCUUGACCAUAUCACAUCACAACAUGCCCUACAAAAACAAGUUAGACGUCCUCUACUUUGUUGUUGCAAGUUUUACGUGGCUGCUACGGGCUUAGCAAGAACCGUUCUUACCUACGCAUCAAAACCACAACGAUAGUUUGUCAAGUUGGUGCUGUUUUAACAUAGAAUAGGACGGGAACCAAACAGAUUAAUCAUGAGUUAUUGCCAUAUUACCUGGCCUAGAUUUACUGGAAAGAAACAAUGGGGUUGCCUUGCUGUUUUCAGAGUUUGUCUUCUUAUCUUCAGCAGCCUGCACAAAAUUAACACACUAGCAUUGCUAUCAUUGGCCAAGUCAGAUAAUAGGAAAGCAACAUUGACACAACAAACGUUUGGGCAACUAGCCUACACCAAAUUAACACAAUAUGGCACAGCUAUCAUCAGCCAGGUAAGGUAAUACGAAAGCAACAUUGACACAAUGAAUGAAUGGGCAACCAGAGAAGCACUACAAUUCAGUAAUGUGCGUGAUAUGAGAUAGUACAUUCAUGCAGCUCAGUAUGCAAAACUACCAGGCAGUUUUCCUUACAAAAAUCAACAUUGGCGCCUUUAACAUUUUGCUACAACUAAUUUUAGAUCAGAUAAAGGUUAGAUUCACGCCGAUUAACAAAAUACAUGCUGAUGUAAAAAUAUAGUGAUAUACAACAGGUACUUACAUCAGCAUUGGAGCACAGAGAAUUCCCGCAAGAUAUUUUCCUCGAAUACGAUCCCAAUGGAGGAAGUCUUCUAUCAUUUAACCUUAUUUUCUAAAAGAGAGAUGGGUAAGAAACAUGUAGAAAAUAUGAUCAGAAUGCUAUAAAAUUUCAUGAUGCGAGGAUACGCACACGCUUCUUAGAAUGGAGUUGACAUUGUUUUGCUGGACUGGAGCGGACUAGUUCUUUGGCCACUAGAAUCUGCUUAUUAUCAGUGGGAGUUCGGUUUCUCUGUGCUGGAGCAGUAUCUAUGAAAAAUGGAGUUGGUUUAUUAUCUCCUAGCGUUUGGAUCUUUUGCAAAGACCUGGUUUGUAACACUUCAGAUUCUAACAUAGCCGUCUUCCCCUUGCAUGCCUUAUAUAGAAGAAUGGUGAUUAAGUUAUAAAACAUGCUACAGCAGAGAUGGAAUAGGUACUGAAGAAUAGAAAGGCAUGACAUAUUGACAUGUAUUCCCUCCAUCCGGAAAUAAAUGGAUGGGUCUAGGCGUAUUUCAGUUCUAGAUACAUCCAGUUUUAUCCAUUUCUGCGACAUGUAAUCCGGAUGGAGGGAGUAUGAUGUAAGAGCUAGGGAUAAGACAGGACAACACAGUAAAAAAAAUAGGAAGGCAUGACAUAUUUACAUGCAUGAUCAGCAUGCUAAGCACAUGGCAUGGCAACAGAGUAGAUACACUCCAGGACAUUAUAUGCAUGUUGUACCCAUAUCACAGGCCAAGUUAGAGCAAGGACCUUGUGGGGUGAAGAGGAUUCAUCAUCUUUCUGCAAGUCUUCUGAAGAACUGCCUUUACAUGUUCCAUCAUAUUGGGUAUCAUUGACAUCAAGUUUAUUGGCCUUUACAUUGCUCCGUGAGGUUCUUGUGGAUAUAUCAGUGUGUGCAAUUAUAUCUGACAUGCAUGGAAGACAACUAGUAGUUAGAUUUAUGCAAUGAGUGCCUGUAGGAGACGACAUAAAUAGUAGGACUGGGGUUAACUAGCAGCAACAGGUCUCAUAAACUAAAGGGAGAACACAGAUGAAAGCUACAGAAUAUGUAUCGUUUGUACUCGAGAUUAACUAGAUGGCACACAAAAGUAUUAAAGAACAACAUAGGUAAUACUAGAAGUGGUAUAAUACUAUAAUCACCAGCCUGUGGGAUAGCAUUGGCUGAUGGAUGAUAACUAUGGAACAGUGUUACCUAAAGAACAAGUAUCUUAGCUGAACUAUGUUGGGGAACGUAGUAAUUUCAAAAAAAUUCCGACGCACACGCAAGAUCAUGGUGAUGCAUAGCAACGAGAGGGGAGAGUGUUGUCCACGUACCCUCGUAGACCGACAGCGGAAGCGUUAUCACAACGCGGUUGAUGUAGUCGUACGUCUUCACGAUCCGACCUUUCAAGUACCGAACGUACGGCACCUCCGAGUUCUACACACGUUCAGCUCGAUGACGUCCCUCGAACUCCGAUCCAGCCGAGUGUUGAGGGAGAGUUUCGACAGCAUGACGGCGUGGUGACGAUAAUGAUGUUCCACCGACGCAGGGCUUCGCCUAAGCUCCGCAACGGUAUUAUCGAGGUGUAAUAUGGUGGAGGGGGGCACCGCACACGGCUAAGAGAUCUCAAGGAUCAAUUGUUGUGUCUCUGGGGUGCCCCCCUGCCCCCGUAUAUAACAGAGCAAGGGAGGAGGAGGCCGGCCCUAGGAGGGGGCGCACCAAGUGUGGAGUCCUACUAGGACUCCCUAGUCCUAGUAGGAUUCCACCUCCCAUAUGGAAUAGGAAAAGAGGAAGGGAAAAAGAGAAGGAAGGAAGGGGGCGCCCCCCUUCCCUAGUCCAAUUCGGACCAGACCAAGGGGAGGGGUGCGGCCACCCUUGAGGCCCUUUUUCUUCUUUCCCGUAUGGCCCAAUAAGGCCCAAUACGUAUUCCCGUAACUCUCCGGUACUCCGAAAAAUACCCGAAUCACUCGGAACCUUUCCGAAGUCCGAAUGUAGUCAUCCAAUGUAUCGAUCUUUACGUCUCGACCAUUUCGAGACUCCUCGUCAUGUCCCCGAUCUCAUCCGGGACUCCGAACUCCUUCGGUACAUCAACAUACAUAAACUCAUAAUAAAACUGUCAUCGUAACUUUAAGCGUGCGGACCCUACGGGUUCGAGAACUAUGUAGACAUGACCGAGACACGUCUCCGGUCAAUAACCAAUAGCGGGACCUGGAUGCCCAUAUUGGCUCCCACAUAUUCUACGAAGAUCUUUAUCGGUCAGACCGCAUAUAAACAUACGUUGUUCCCUUUGUCAUCAGUAUGUUACUUGCCCGAGAUUCGAUCGUCGGUAUCUCGAUACCUAGUUCAAUCUCGUUACCAGCAAGUCUCUUUACUCGUUCCGUAACACAUCAUCCUGCAACUAACUUAUUCGUCACAAUGCUUGCAAGGCUUAUAGUGAUGUGCAUUACCGAGUGGGCCCAGAGAUACCUCUCCGACAAUCGGAGUGACAAAUCCUAAUCUCGAAAUACGCCAACCCAACAAGUACCUUUGGAGACACCUGUAGAGCACCUUUAUAAUCACCCAUUUACGUUGUGACGUUUGGUAGCACACAGAGUGUUCCUCCGGUAAACGGGAGUUGCAUAAUCUCAUAGUCAGAGGAACAUGUAUAAGUCAUGAAGAAAGCAAUAGCAACAUACUAAACGAUCGGGUGCUAAGCUAACGGAAUGGGUCAAGUCAAUCACGUCAUUCUCCUAAUGAGGUGAUCUCGUUAAUCAAAUGACAACUUAUGUCUAUGGCUAGGAAACAUAACCAUCUUUGAUUAACGAGCUAGUCAAGUAGAGGCAUACUAGUGACACUCUGUUUGUCUAUGUAUUCACACAUGUAUUAUGUUUCCGGUUAAUACAAUUCUAGCAUGAAUAAUAAACAUUUAUCAUGAUAUAAGGAAAUAAAUAAUAACUUUAUUAUUGCCUCUAGGGCAUAUUUCCUUCAAACUAUGGAACAUCGUUAACUCCUGAACAAGACCCGUAAGAGAUCAGCAUGAAUAUACAGUGAAAUGUGAUGAUCUAUUUUCCAUGCUUAGAUGAAUAACAAAGCCAUAAAUGUUGCACACAAGUAAGAUGAGGGUACAACCUAUCUGGCUGCCAUCCAUAGGAGUGAGCAUCAUGUGCUGACUUGUCGAUGGCCCUGCAGUUGUUGUGGCUGUCCAUGUCGGGCACGCGCAUUCGAUGCAGGGAACUGUUGAGUGGGGACUAUAGCUCCCUUCUGGUGUAUGCUUCCCUUGUUGGAGCAGCUGGGGUGAGUUAGAAGACGGUGUGUCUGAAGAUGCAGAUAACGCAUAAUGUUAAGAACGACAUGUCUCUUUGAUCUGAAGAAAUACACUAAGAGAUCCACAGCAAGGUACGAGAGUGGUCACACGUCUGUUGACUGAAGACUAAAUUGGGGUCACAUGAUUUUAUUUUAUUUUGGUACUGUCCGAUCUACGCCGGAUGGCUUGAUGGCCGUCUUGUGCCUCCCGGCUGACACUGUUCGAAAUCUUCCCCGAAGAGCCAGCGACCAACGGCAGAGCAGCCUGCCUCCGCCGUCCGUGGCCCCGGCCAAAUCCCGCUCCCCGCCCCACCGCACUGCCGUGGUUGCCGCCCCCGGGCCAAUCCACAAAGACUCCCCGUCAUCCAGAUCCGGCGGCGGCAGUACCUUCAACCCAUGCAACUCUAAAAGAUUGCCAUCUAAGCGCUACUUCCGCGGCGAACUUGCGGCCCCGCACCCUUAUGUUAGACACCAGCCAACCGGUAGCCUAGGAGCUCCGCCGCCUCGAGGGGUGCUGCUUCCCAUUGGGAAUCGAUUGGCCUAGAAUAAAAAUUCAGACAACAGACGCCUAAAUAAAGUGAUUUGAGAUGAGGGUGCGACCUAUCUGGCGGCAUGGUGAAGUAUGCAGGUCCAGCUGUCGAGUUGGUGAGGCCGGCGCGGUUGCGGUGGCGACCGGUGGCAAGUAAAGAGCGAUGUCGCGACGGUCGACGGCUACGGGGAAGAAGCGCCAGGACUCUGGACGGAUCCGAAAUUGGAGCCGCUCCGGCGCCGUGAACAACGGCGGGGGUGAAUCGGCUCCGGUACGGUUCACGCGGCCGUCGUCGAGGCAGCACCAGCAGCACGGAGUAAGAGGCGCAUGGCCCAAUGCACGACGGCAAAUGGACAGCGUCUCCGGCAUUAGGGAGGAGGGCGGCUGUGAAAUUGGUGCGGUGGGGGCUGAGGUUUCGCGGCUCGGGAGAAGGGAGCUUCCCGGGGAGAAGGUGAUUUGGCACCCACGAGGUAUGAAUGGGGGCGGGCGGGGGGGGUGCGGGGGGAAUUGGGAGGGGAGUGGAACCAUGUCUUACGGACGCAUUUGUCUGAAAUGUGAGGGGGAGUUACAGUUCUACCCUUGCCUAUAGGCUUCUCGGCUUGGUUCUGUGUACUGAGGGUCGGGGAUAGUAGAGUAACUUUGCUUCUCCCCAAAUAGUGGGCGGGAGCGAUUUCGGGCGAGGAGGGCGUGUUUUGAACUAUAGUGGGCGCGAGCGAUUUCGGGCGAGGAGAGCGUGUUUUGAAAUAGUGGGCGCGAGCCAUUUCGGGCGAGGUGAGCGUGUUUUGCCGACCAUGGUUUAUGAAUUAUUCGGCACAUGUCAUUUCGGCCGAGGAGAAGGCGCGCUUGGAUGAAGUUACGAACCUACCCUCAAUGUACAACGGGCCAAUUGAUGUGUGUCCCACAUAGGACGGUAAUUUCGCGUCCCCCAUUUAUUUGCUCGGGUGAAUUCCAGCAAGCAGAGAGGAUGUUUAACGGUUCGUUCAAAUUUUGGGAGAACGAGCAUCCACGUCUACCUUACCAAGUCGAUUCGGAUCAAAUUUUGAAAUAUUAGCUUGCCACUUCUUUUUUAGAUAGAGAGAUGAUGCUCGGGAGUAAUGUGUUUUUACAUGCUCGUUGCUAGCGAUUUACUAUAUGACAAAUAGUUGACCCACUCGAAAACACGAAUCAAACCCAAAAUGAAAUAUCUCGAUUCAAUGAAAUAGCUCGUUCAGUAGGUCAAAAUAGUGAACUAAAUCCAAAAUUGAACACCUCAAUCGAGUAGCAUGUUGUACAGUAUUAUAGUACUCCAUGAACAUGUUGAAUGUCAAAUUAAUGAACUUGUUUGAUAUACGCAUAUAUCCGUUCAUGUGUGGAUUGCAGACAACAUGUUCUCCAAUUUAAAUAUUUGAAUGCAAGUUUAUAUCGAAACAUGGUUUAUAUCAGUCUUUGAUGCAUAAAACGCGACCUCCCCCUCUCCCGGACUCCUGUUCUCUCUCUCUCUCUCUCUCUCUCUCUCUCUCUCUCUCUCGAACAAUCUUCAAUUCUGUCGCACGCAUCCGACACAAAAACCUUGUUGGUCCCUCUCCCUUUCUCUCCAUCUCUCUCUCUCUCUCUUUGUGUGUGUGUGGGGGGGGGGUCUUUCUAGUUCGCAUGCAUAUAUACACCAUCUAUAGGUCUCUCUCGCACACUAUGUAUGAUACUCUAGCUAGUCCAAGCUAGAUAUCUUGGGUGCACUCAUCGUACGCACACAAAUUCCUUGGCUCUUUGCCCGUAACUCUCUCAUGCACCACUUUGUCAUCUCAGAGCUCUCCCCCCCCCUCUCAAACUCUCCAUCCACCUGGGUCACACAUACACAUGCAUAUCUCACUCGCACUCGAUAGGCCCAUCUAAAACUCUAUCUCUCUCCCUCGUUCUCUCUCCAUCUCACACGCACACACACACACACACAAUCUCAUGCCUAGCUAGCCAAGUACGAUGGUCUCUCACUCAAUUGUAGGCACACGCAGUCCCCCCUAUAUGCAUAUGACUAGCUAAUCUUAGUCUCCAUCACAAACAUGUGCAUGGUCUAUCUUGAUUUGUCUCGAGGCAUCUUUCUAUCGCGCACGCACUCCCUCGAUCUCCCACCCAUAUAGUCCCCUCACGAUCUCGAGGGGAUCUCUCUAUCACAAACACACCCUCUCUCCCUCCCCAUGCGUCCAUGCCAUCCAUGUGUCCCUCUCGACCUUUGUUCCUCGUUGGCCAGACCUCUAUUGGACAUGUGCUACAGGGGUGUCUCUCUCCAUUGCAAACAAUCACACACUAGCUAUCUUCGUGUAUCUACUCGCCUUGCUUUUACAUCUCGGAGAUGCAUGCGUGAUAUGUUCGCAUAAGAAACGAAAAAACACACACUCUCUCUAAUUUAUCAUUUGUUGUCACUUUCUCUUUCAUACACAUACUCUUUUUGCACACUUACUCAUUCUCCUUCACACGCACUUGAUAUGUCUCGACUUAGGCACUCUCCUCGGUCCAUAGCAUAUAAAUUUAUUGAAAAGUCAAACAUCACAAAGUUUGACCAUGUACGUGGAGAAAAACAAUUACAUCUAGUAUGGCAAACAUAUACCAUUAGAUUCACCAUGAGAUGUAGUUUUGUAUGAUGUAUCUUUGGUAUUGUAGAUAUAAAUAACAUUUGCGUAAACCUGAUCAAAGUUUCCAAAGUUUGACUUCUAAAAAAUUUACAUGCACUGCAUUAUCGAGCGGAUGGAAUAUCUCUUUCCCCCUCUCAGCUAUCUGACGCACCACUCAGCCUUAUCGGGGCUCCUCAAUCUCUCUCAAACUUUAUUGGUCAGUUUGGUUCGUGACCUGACCCUCAUGCCUUGAUGGCCAGUACUGCCUGGUGUGGACGUGAGAUGUAAAAUAUGUCUGCCUGGCCAGGCUUGUGUGCUGCUGAAGCGUUUGGUUCAUGCCUGGGCCAGGCAAAGCAUAAACGUCCCAUCAAUCAAUCCAUGCAGCAAUUAUUUAAUGCUAAUAUCCAUCCAUGUUGUUCUUCGCCUUGUGGCCGCACGACCAGGCACGGCCAGGCGUUCGAAAUCGGUCGCCUGGGCCAGGCUACUUGCAGUGUCUGGAGUCCAGCGAGGCUAAUUAAAGUGCAAGGGAACCCAGGCCAGGCGGGCUUUCUUUUUCACAGGGUAGCAACCAAACAAGCGUGCAUGAAAUCCAGCCACAACCCCAGGCCAGGCAAAAGAUGCUCAGGACGCAAGCCAAACUGACCUUAUAUCUCCUUGGUUCACACAUACACAUGCCUCGCUCGCGCUAUACAUAUAGACCCAUCCAACACUCUCCGCCCUUGUUCCCUCUCCAUGUGACACACACCCCCCUAAGUACCAUAAUCCCUCACUCCAUCAUAGGCGCAAGCACUCCCCCCCACCCUCCUAAGUAUGAUUAUCUCUUACUAGCCAUCAGGAACACACGUAUUGUCUCCUUCCAUCCAUACGUCUAUCUCGAUAUCUCUCGGGGCAUCUUCUAUCGCGCACACACCUUGUCACUCGAUCUCCCACCCAUGUAGCCCCAUCACGAUCUCCAGGGGAUCUCUCUAUGACAAACAUACACUCUCUCCUCCCCAUGUCUGCAUUUUCUCCAUACGUCUCUCUCGACCUCUCUCCCUUGUUUGUCAGACCCCUCUUGGCCACGUGCUAGGGGUCUUGCUCUCUCGGUUCCAAACAACCACACACUAUCUCCUCACCUUGCCUCCGUUGUCGAAGAUGGAUGUGUGAUAUGUUUGCAUAAGACAUGCACGCUUUUUCUCUACUUUUAUCGUGUGUUGUCCAUGUCUCUUUCACACACGCACACACACUUUUUUCACUCUCUCUCUCUCUCUCUAGUUAGGGACUCUGUCAUGUCCAUAAGCAUAUGGAUGUUUUGAAAAGUCAAACCUUAGAAAAGUUUGACCAGGUAUAUGUGGAGAAUAACAUUUACAUCUGGAACAAUCAUUAGAUUCAUCACAACAUGUACUUACUUCAUACUAUCAUUUAUCUUUGGUAUUGUAGAUAUAAGUAAUUUCUUUAUAAACUUGGUCAAAGUUUCAAAAGUUUGACUUAAAAAAAUGUUGGAACUACAUUAUCGAACGGAGGGAGUAGCUCUUUCUCUCUCUCUCUCUGCUAUCUCUCAUAGGCCUCCCCUCUCACUCGAACUCUCUAUACCGACGGAUUAUACGCUCACUGUGUCAGCAUAUAGCUCUGUAUAUUGUUUAGUUGACCGGUCAACCAAUCCACAUGCUGCCUUGAUAGCUCAUGUUCUGUAUCUUCGUGUGCUGGCCCAUGUGGCAGUGGGUGAAAAUAAGUAAACCAGAGGCCCAUCUGACACGCGCUGAAGUAAACAAAGUUGAAACCACUCGGGGUAGCACCCCGCACGCUAGUAAAUUGAGGGCGCAUUGAGGACACACUUCUUGCGCGCGAAGGACGCACUCGCGCACAAUUCACCACUGCGCGGCGACAUGCACAGAAGGACGCAUUCGCGCACACCCAGCACACAACACACACUAGCACACGUUUACACCGGCGUCGCCGCCGGUUGAGAUGGACGGCGAGGCAGCCAACAAGCGGAGGCGGCUCGAGCCAAAACCGCAUCCGGCGAGCCUGGACUUCAUCAGCAGCCUCCCCGACGACAUGCUGCUCGUCAUCAUCGGCCUCCUCCCCAGCAAAUCUUCCAUGCGGACCGCCCUGCUCUCCCGGCGGUGGCGCCCCCUCUGGCGCUGUGUCCCCCUCAACCUCACCGUCGACAGCUGCCUCUGCGACGGGGAUUGCAAACGCAUGGCCGCAGUCUCCAAGAUCCUUUCAUCGCACCCUGGGCCAGCCAGAUGCCUUGACAUCCGCAUGUUCAGUACCAACUGCAAGGUCCAACCCAAGUUUGACGAGUGGUUCUUAUCCCCCGCCCUAGAUCGGCUCGAGGAGCUCAGCUUUGAAGCUAGACGAUGUCGCUCUCUGCCGCCGUCCGUGCUCCGCCUCACGCCAACGCUGCGCCGCGCCAACUUCAGCUCCUGCUAUCUUCCCGAGAUUAAUGCCGCGCCCGCCCUUCUUCUCCCUCAACUCAAGCAGCUCGACCUCUUCGACGUUGUCAUCUCGAAGAAGGCUAUGGAGCACCUGCUCCGCAGCUGUACUGCGGUCGAGUACCUUCGUCUUGAGCAGAUCCACGGGUUCGUUAGCCUCCGCAUCGCCUCGGCGAAUCUCCGAUUGAUUUAUGUGUCUUGCUGGCCCCGCAACAAGACAUCAAUUGGGAAGAGAUCACUCCAGUUGUUCCACAUUAUGGUCAUUGAGAAUGCGCCUUUCCUUGAGAGAUUGCUUGUAUCGGAUCUAGAAGGUCCAACAAAAAUCAGGGUCAUUGACGCGCCGAAAUUGACAGCGUUGGUGUACUCGUCUGCCAAAUUCUCCGAACUCUUUAUUGGAUCCGUAAUCGUUCAGGUACAGCACUCAUCUUCUUCUCCGUCUACUUGAAAUUCACAUUUUUAAAUUUCUUCUUGAUGUAUUUACGACGGUCUUCCAGAAAAUGAUUCCCACAAGCUUGACCCAGUCCAUGCGCACAGUGAAGAUCUUAGCACUAAAAUCUAUCGGCCCCAAUCUGGAUCAAGUUGUUGGAUUCCUUACAUGCUUUCCGUGCACGGAGAAGCUACUCAUCGAGGUGAAACUUCUUUCCUAUAAGUAAACGUUAAUCAGAACGUAGCUCAAUUUUUUCGUAAUUUUCCCAAAUUACGAUGACAAGUCUAGUGUUCAAAACUGCAUCUACGCACUGCACCGAAAGAAAUGUUUUUAGUAUUUUUUCUCACGUGAUCACCUGCAUCGUUUUUAUGCUGUACUACUAUAGUAGCCUAGGCUAGUCAUAGUGGAAAGUAAGACUACUCCAGUAACUCUAUGGUUACCCUAAGAGCAAGUACUACCUCCGUCCUGGUUUACUCUUCCAAUUUUGUAGUAUCCAAAUUUGACCAUAGAUUUAACUGACAAAAUGUUAAUGCAUGUCACUAAGAACUAUAUCGUUGGAUUCGUAUUUGAACAUAAAUUCAAAUGGUGUAAUUUUUAGUGACAUGCAUUGGCAUUUUCUUAGGUAAAUCUAUGGUCAAAAUUUUAUACUAAAUACGAGGUAGUAUUCCCUCCGUCCCAAAAUUCUUGUCUUACAUUUGUUUAGAUACGGAUGUAUCUAACACUAAAAUGUAACUAGAUACAUCCGUAUUUACACAAAUUUAAGACAAGAAUUUUGGGACGGAGGGAGUACAAAAGUGGGCUAUGUAGGCCAAAACAUGUGCCAAAUUCACUUGUGAUGCAUUUGGCAUCGAUGCCCCUCCAUUGCUCACCUGGUGCCCCAAUCUGGAUCACCUACUUUGCUGCGGUGCCAAAUUAACUCAUGCAAUGAAAAAACACUGUGUGGGAGAGAGAGAGGACUGAGGCAAUAAAAAAACACUUGUUUGGGAGAGUGAGAGGCUGGUGUAGUUGGUUUGAUUGAUUUGUUUAUACAUGUGGGUCUGUGUGCACAGCGGUGCCAACUCUCACAUCGCGAGAGCGGUGCCAAAAUCUUUUGAUUUGACAUCGAUGCGUAUUAUGUGGCAUACUUUUGCGAAAUAUGGCAUCGGCCACAUAGUGGAAGGCAACAAAUGCCCAAGCUCUUCACAUGCUCCUAGUUAAAUGAGAGGAAACAGAAAGAGAGAGAGAGAGAGUGAAAAAAUAUCACUAGCCAGCCAACCCUAUCGUAUGAGCGAAUGAUAUUGGUACCUCUUGAUGACACGGCAAUCUUAUACAGCCAGCUGCUCUAAUAUGUUCUCUUCUUUUGCAGAUAAAAAAGACCCGAAAGUGAAAAAUGUGCUGCACUAUAACAAUCUCAUCGAAUGCCUUGAUCUCCAUCUUACAGAAAUUGAUUUGAUCGACUACCGAGGCAGCACAACUGAGAUUAAAUUGGCCAGGUUCUUUGUUCUGGAGGCAAGUGUGCUCAAGGUAAUGAGGUUUGGCGUUCUCUGGCGCAACAAUGAAUGGUGUGCUGAUCACCGCAAGCGUCUAAGCCUAAAUGACAAAGUCUCCGCAGAAGUUGAAUUUGUGUUUGAAACAUCAAGUGGCCAGAGACUCGAAAACUUAUUUGCCCAUUAGUGACUUGUCAGGGUGGUGGAUUUUAGUUUAUACGAUAAUGCUGCAUCCACCUAAAGAAACGAAAGUUCUUACGUAAACUUCCUAGUAAUUCCCUCUUCGUAGGUGCAGCAUUACUCCUAACAUUUGUACUAUCAGUUUGAAACUUGUAAUAUUGCCGUGUCCUAUUCCUGCGUUUUCAAAAUCCUGCGAAUCAAACAGGUCCUGAGUUGGUGAUGAUGUUGUGCCUCCCAUCUUUCACCAAUAGCCUUUGGAUCUAGAUCUGACGCAUACAAAUCAAGUUCUCCAUUUUUGCAAAAAGAUGACCGCACUGGUUCCCUAUUUACAAACAACUCCUUGUCUCUCACAAUCAGCCUUAUCUCCUCCCCACCACAUCUAGAAGGCCGUGGAAAAAUCUGGCGCGAUGGCCGCUGCCAGCGCCGUCCACCCCCAAUCUUGGUGUUCCGUGCAAUGCACGGGCAUCUACGCACGGGAAAUUAUGUCGAACAGGGCUAGUUGUAAGCAGGCUAGCUCUACAGCCAUGAUGAUAGUGACUGCAGACGAUGAGGCUGACUAUGGUAUGCCGAACACGGCGCCUAUACUCAGGUGUCAUCUCCGGCGCAGGGUCUUGUCACUUCACUGUGAGGAGCAGCACAUAAUAAUUUGACCAACGGGUAGUACAGUGCUAGUACUCCUACUACUACAUUGGUAGUACUACUACUAGUACUAGUAGCACCACUGUCUGGAUUUAGGAGUACUACCACGUCCAUCUGGAUUUUAGUAUUUGACUAGCAAUAUCUAGUAAUGCAUGUCACAAAAAUGUACUACUCCCUCUGUAAAUAAAUACAUGGUUUUUUAUUCCUACCGGCGAGAGAGCUUAAUGUCUUUUUGCUAACUAGAGUACUAAUAGGAUUACAUGCAAUGAACUAAACACUGCAUGUCAUGUUUGGUAGUUAUGUCACGAAAUAAGAAACAAGGAGGGAGUUAAUGCACCGUGCCUAAGUGUUUUGGGAUUAUUUGGUUUUCGUAAGGUGACUUACACAAGAUUUUUGUUUACAUGCAUUAACAUUUUAUUAGUUAAAUCAAAGGUCAAAACUUGGCACAAAAUGCGAAGGGGACCAAUAAACCAGUAAACAUCAAACUUCUCUCGUUUGGCCCCAACUAGAGGUCCGGUGAGAUGACUAUACUGCACCGGCACGGAGGAGGACGCAGCUUCAUUGACUUACGGCAACUGCCUUUGGGUGAAUGACACAUGGGCCCAAGGGGUGGCUGGCCCACCUAUCAUACAGCCAAAGGCAGGUGCAGUAGAGGGCCAAGGAGUAGUACGAAAUCCUACGCACCUACGCACGCUAACCAAGGGCAAGAGUGAUCACUCGAAUCGCAAGAUCAGUUGACUAGAAGCUAAGCUAGACCCAUGGAGGCGAUGAGUGCGAGCAUCAGCCGGCUGUGCCAGAUGGUCCACGACGCUGGCUUGCGGCCCGGCACCGAGGAACGUCUCCAGGUAGUAUUGCUUGAGGUCGCCAAGGCGAAGGGCCGCUUGGACGACAGCUUCAUCUCCUUGUUCGACGAGGCCCUCGUCGGUUUCCUCGACAAGUUCACCGUCGUCAAGAAGCUUGUGGACGACUUUGACAUCCGCCUCCAGCCGACGCGCCCAGGCUCUGCGAUGCCCGCCACCCUCAACGGCCACUAUGGUGACAACCUCUUCGACGCACUGGUGGCCCUUCGACUGCCCGCCGUCGCGCCGGAGAAUGUCCACCUCGAGGUCGCGCUCGCUGGUCAGCGCCUGGCGCAGCAAGACACAAUCGACAUAAUCACCCACGUCUACGCGCAGAUCGUCCAUAAGGACUAUACAUGCAAGAGGAGGACGAUAGGACGCUGGCCUUCUUGGACCGCAGGGCAACCUUGGACGGCAUUGUUCAUAAGCACGUUGAGCUCGCCGCCAACGCCGCUGCUCCUCACACGUCGGUUGGUGACCCGGCGCACUAGGGCGUGAGGAUGUCGUUGAUGGAUCCGUAUGUAUUUUUAUCUUUUUGUCAAAUCCAUGUAGUAGUAUAUGAUACUACUAGUAAUUAUCUUACCUUUCGCAUCAACUUCAUAAUUUUCGUACGUACUCCAUGCAUGAACGGCGCCAAAACCAAACUUCUCAUUACUCUAGGCAAAAUCGUUAUUUUCUAUCUAUCGGUCGCGCCAUGGAGCAGAACCAAAUUUUACAAGUUACGAGUUCAAAAGGUAAAGCCUGCCGUGUUCGCGUCGCACCCCCACACGGUUGGUCCGGCACGCCGCUCAAGCGAGAAUGCAUGCGGUGUUGCAUUUUCACUUACAAGUGGGACCGCAGUUGAGCAAACCGACUAUCGGCAAACCCCCACCCCGCCCACCGCGCGAUGGCUGAGAAAACAGGAGGGAGAAGAGAUGGUUGUAGCACAGACUCCAAGAAAAUUUGUGUCAGAUGGGACUCGUGUGGGUGGCGUGUGCCGUACUGCUAGUGAAUGCUAGUUAUGACCCAUGCCACCCCACUAUAUCGGGCCUAUAUCGAGGUACGUAGAACAAAUUUCCUGCAGUCCGCGCUCAGCCCUCCUCUAUCUCUCUUCUCAGCCAGCCAGCGGACGCGCGGAGCCCAUCGUCUGUUUGCUCACAUGCGGUCCCACAUGUCAGUGAAAACGCAAGAGGACCCACUGAACCUGCACAUCUUUCACCUCGACGUGCUGGUGAUGAAAAACAAAUCCAAUAAAGAUCUUCGGUGGCCGCUUUUGGUGUUACUCAAGAGUAGUAAGAUUCUAUUUACAGUUUAACCCAAGAUGUCGGAGUAAAUGGCCACGGGUAGCCUAACCGACUACCCAUGGUUCUUCAAAAAUUAUCAGGCCGUUUGAGCCUUUGAGCAUUCGAAGCAUUGGGCCGACUUCUCCCGGCCGACUACCCCAGGAGCCGACUCGCUGGAGGCGACCCGGUCCCAGUAAACCUCCCCCAAGAUAGCUGCGAGAUGGCCGACUCCAGGAAGCUGGCGCCAAGAGGACCGACUUCCAAGAGCCGGCCAUGAAGAACGCCAACUCCAAGAAGCCGGCCAAGACCGCACCCACCAAAACUGCACCCACAUAACGGUGACAAGACGGGGCGUGGCCACAGUGCGGCCCACUACCCCCGAAACCUGAGGCAGGCGUGGCCACAGGAUGCCGUACGGGUCAGCCACCUCCCGUCCGGCUUGGCACUGUAGCCAUGCUGGCCUCAACGUUACCCACGACAGACACCAGUAAGGCCCGCGGGCGGCGGGCCCCUUUAGCCAGAGAGAGGCACGAAGGCGGCCCGGCCUCCUCCAGUCGGCCAGGGGCGUAGCCAGCCCCCAGAAGCCGGCUACCCCCCUCCCUCGUAACAUGUGCCACAUUAAGGAGACAAGACGAGGUAAGGUUACAGUGAGAGCCCCCGAGGCGGCACACUGUAGCCACGCUUACCUCGACAAAACCCUCGUCAUCAGGGGCGAGGCUACAGUGAGCAGCCGCCGACAAGACCCCCAGGCAGUGGGGCCGGCCUGUCAACCAAGAGGCCGGCAGCCGGCGGGACCCACCCAUCGGCGAGCCCCAAUGGCCGGCGGAGAAGCCGGCGAGCGCAGACACUGACGACUGGGACCCACGCCCAGCCGGAUUACAAUUGUACCCCGGGGGGUAGGCCUAUAUAAACCCCCCGGGGCACCCAUGCAAAGGGUUGGCUGCUUAGAGUUACACACACAACAAAUAGAGAGGGAAGUAAGAGCUAGCCUUGCUCUUCUUCUCCCUUGAACCUGACAGCUCAAGGAGCAUUUGUAGUUGCUCAUUCUGAUCUAGUGAUCAUGCGAAGACCCCGCAGAGCAGGACUAGGGGUGUUAUCUCCACGGAGAGCCCCGAACCUGGGUAAGAUUCGCCGGCGUGCAUGUCUUCGCCUCAUCCCGUUUCCAGGCACCGGCAACGUCUUACUGGCUCCCACAAUGAUAAGCCACCCGUUGGCAUAUGUCGCACCUACCACCCGACAUUUGGCGCCCACCAUGGGGCCAGGUGCACCGUCGUCCGGAGAACUGUUCUGGACGGGAACCCUUUUUCUCCCCCGCGAGCGCAGCCGGCCUGCUGCGCCCGAUGGCGUUUGCCUCGACGCGCUGCAAGGCGUCGACGAUGCCUGCAAGGCAAGCUGACUCGCCGAUUUGCUCGGCGAGACUCGCAUCUCCGACGAGCCCGCGUCCGACGCGGGCAUGGACUACCCCGAGAGCCGCCUCAUCAGCCUCCUCGACCAGCUUCACAUCUCUAGCGAGCCUGCUGCAGACUUGGAGUCGGUCGGCUCCACCGACCCAAUGCUCGUCGAUUCCGACACGGCGUCACUCGACGCCUACCCCUCCGACGUGGUGGUCUUCGACAACCCUCUCCCUCGAGCCGACAGCGGCAGCAACGCUGUCACCGAAGUGUUGGUCAUCAGCCACGUCGCCAACUCGGGCGAGAACGCCCACGACGCCCUGCGAGCGGCGAUGCACGACCUAUCUGUCCCCGUCCCGGCCGACGCCGACGCCGAGACCUUGGAGGCACGCCGCCUCGCCCUCAUCGCAGAAGGCCAGAAGAUAGACUCCAUGAGACGCCUCACCGAGGCCCACCAGCGCAAAGUCAACCGCGCCGCCUUCGGCACGCCGCCGCAUAGCGGGCCGAGCCGAGCCGGCUUCGUCCAGAAGCGCGGCACGGCUAUCGCCAGCAUGCUAGGGGCAGAUCGCCCCGUCUACGCCACCCCGCUCGAGAAUCUACGAGCCCGCGCUGAUAGUCAUCCCCCGCGCCGGGAGCACGCCGCGACGUCCCGCUCGCUGACUGCGAGCGGCGCCCGCCAGAGGAAAGACAAGGAGCCGGCUGCUAGCCGCAGCCGGACUCGUAUCACCAUCGAGCGCGACGCAGAAGGCCACCCCCGAGCGGUGGAGCGCCAAGGAAAUCCGCCUCCUCCCCCGCCUCGAGGGGAGAGACGUCCCUCCCCGCCGCCUGUCAUGCACCCGACUCUUGGUGGCCGACUAGGCCGCCGCGAAGGAGUCAGCGAGAACGACGCCCGCCAUCGGAUCGACCGCCCAGCUCGAUCCCUGGCGCUAGAAGAAGAAGACGAUGUCGGCCCGCCAUGCUUUGGCCCCCGCAUCCGCGAUGAGCCCUCCCCCAAAGGGUUCUCGCUCCCCAGAGACACGCCCAAGUACAACGGCUCUGUGAAGCCGGAAGAUUGGCUCAUCGACUAUUCUACUGCGGUCAGCAUAGCCAACGGCAACAGACGCGUCGCCGUGAAAUACGUCCCCCUCAUGCUGCAAGGCACGCGCGCACCUGGCUCAACAGCCUCAAGCCCUACAGCAUCAACAGCUGGCUGGACUUCAUGGAAGUCUUCGUCCGCAACUUCACCAGCACGUACAAGCGGUCUCCCAAGCCUCGCCAGCUCUCCCUAUGCGUCCAAGGGCCCAACGAGUCGACCCGCGAUUACCUCACGCGGUGGGCCGAGCUCCGCAACUCCUGCGAGGGGGUGCACGAGGUUCAAGCCAUCGAGUACUUCGCCGCCGGGUGCCGAGAGGGCACCCUCCUCAAGCACCGACUCCUCUGCGACGAGCCGGCUACCCUCGACGAACUGCUGAUCAUUGCGGACAAGUACGCCACGGCCGACUCCUCGAUGAAGACCGAACUCCGAGUAGACGCCUCUGGGAAGGUGCUUGCUCCGGCUCCCAAGACGCCGGCUAGCGAGUCCAAUCGGCGCCCCUACCAGAACGACCACAAGCGCAAGGCCCCUAUGCCGCCCUCCACCAGUCGGCAAGUUGCCACAGUUGAAGAUGAGCAACCCGAAGAAUGGCCCGCUCCCAAGAAGAAGGUUGGCAGGCCGGCUUGGCAGCCGGCUUUCUCCUACGAGCAGACUCUCGACGCCCCCUGCAAGUUCCACAGCGGCGCGAAGUCGUCCAACCACAUGACCCGAAAGUGCCACUGGCUCACGCGAAUCUCCAAGGGCGAGGGGAUGGUGCCGCCUCCGCCUCCCGGCCCGCCGCCUCCAGCCCCCCAGCAGCCGGCGGCUCGGCCGGCAGUCGGAGCCAUUCAAGAUGAGUUCCGUGAAGAGCACGCCGCCUACGUCGUCUUCACAAGCCAAGUCGAAGACAAGCGUAGUCGGUGCCGUCAGCAUCAAGAGGUCAACGCAGUCGCCUCUAGCGCUCCCGAGUUCAUGCACUGGUCCGAGAAGCCCAUCAACUGGAGCCAGGCCGACCACCCAGAGGUGAUGCCAUCCCCUGGCUCCUAUGCACUAGUCUUGGAUGUCACCCUCGCGACGGAGAGGCGAGCUGCCCGAUUCUCCCGCGUCCUGAUUGAUGGCGGAAGCAGUAUCAAUAUACUGUACCGCGACACCAUGGAGAAGCUGAACAUCAAGGCGAAGCAGCUCAUGCCAAGCCGGACCGUGUUCCAUCGCAUCGUCCCUGGCUUGUCUUGUUCCCCGAUCGGCAAGAUCAAGAUGGAUGUUCUCUUCGGAGACAAGGAUCAUUUUCGCCGAGAAGCGAUCUGGUUUGAGGUAGUGGAUCUGGAGAGCCCCUAUCAUGCUUUGCUUGGCCGACCUGCUCUGGCCAAGUUCAUGGCUGUGCCCCACUACGCCUACCUGAAGAUGAAGAUGCCGAGCUCGAAGGGGAUCAUCGCUGUAGCCGGUGACUACAAGAAGUCCAUCGAGUGCGCCAUGGCCAGCAGUCGGCUGGCCGAGUCCCUCGUAGUGGCAGAAGAGAAGAAUAUGCUGGAGCGGGUUGUGGCCAUGGCCGACAAGCAGCCGGCCCUGUCCCCCAACCCCAAAGAUGGUGAUGCACAGGGCUCCUUCCAGCCAGCCAAAGAGACGAAGAAGAUACCUCUGGACCCGGAGAAUCCAGAAAGGUUUGCUGUCAUUGGGGCAAACCUGGACAGUAAAUAGGAAGGCGAGCUCGUCGACUUCCUUCGUGAGAAUCGAGACAUUUUUGCAUGGUCCCCAAAGGACAUGCCAGGUGUCCCGAAGGAUUUCGCCGAGCACAAAUUGCACGUCCGAGCCGACGCGAAGCCGGUCAAGCGGCCCCUUCACCGACUGUCAGAAGAGAAGCGAAGAAUCAUAGGAGAAGAGAUAGCCUAGCUCCUCGCCGCUGGCUUUAUCAUGGAAGUAUUCUUUCCAGAGUGGCUUGCCAACCCAGUCUUGGUUUUGAAAAAGAAUAACAAGUGGCGUAUGUGUAUAGACUACACCAGCCUCAACAAGGCCUGCCCCAAGGAUCUGUUUGCUUUGCCACGGAUUGACCAAGUGAUAGACUCCACAGCCGGAUGCGAGCUGUUGAGUUUUUUGGAUGCCUACUCAGGGUACCAUCAAAUCAAGUUGGACCCAGCAGACCGACUGAAGACUGCCUUCAUCACACCAUUCGGAGCUUUCUGCUACCUGACUAUGACAUUCGGCCUAAGGAAUGCCGGUGCCACUUUUCAGUGUUGCAUGCAGAAAUGCCUCCUCAAGCAACUCGGCAGAAAUGCCCACGUCUAUGUAGACGACAUUGUGGUGAAGACAGAGAAGCGCGGCACUCUGCUGGAAGACCUCAAAGAAACAUUCGCCAACUUGCGCCGAUUCCAAAUCAAGCUCAACCCCGAAAAAUGCAUGUUCGGAGUACCAGCCGGCCAGUUGCUAGGCUUUCUGGUCUCCGAACGCGGCAUCGAGUGCAACCCUGUGAAGAUCAAGGCCAUCGAGAGGAUGGAGAUUCCCACCAAAUUGCGAGAUGUGCAGAAGUUCACCGGGUGCUUGGCCUCCCUAAACCGCUUUAUCAGCCGGCUAGGAGAGAAGGCUCUCCCCCUGUACCGACUCAUGAAGAAGUCCACUCACUUCGAGUGGAAUGACCAAGCCGACCAAGCCUUCCAUGAGCUGAAGAACAUGCUGACCACUCCACCUGUCCUGGCGGCACCGACUGAGAAGGAGCCCAUGCUCCUCUACAUUGCCGCGACUAGCCGAGUGGUCAGUACAGUUGUCGUGGACCAGCGCCCGGAAGAAGGCCGAGCCCAGCUAGUCCAGAGGCCGGUGUAUUAUCUAAGCAAAGUACUAUCCAGCUCAAAGCAAAACUACCCGCACUACUAGAAGAUGUGCUAUGGGGUGUACUUCGCCGCCAAGAAGCUGAAGCCCUACUUCCAAGAGCAUCCCAUCACGGUCGUGUGCACCGCCCCGCUUGCCGAGAUCAUAGGCAGCCGGGAUGCAUCCGGCCGGGUGGCUAAGUGGGCCAUUGCAUUGGCGCCAUACACAAUCUUCUACCAACCCCGCACCGCCAUCAAGUCCCAAGCAUUGGCCGACUUCCUCGUCGACUGGGCCGAGACCCAGUACCUACCGCCGGCUCCCGACUCUACCCAUUGGUGGAUGCACUUUGACGGGUCCAAGAUGCGCACCGGCUUGGGAGCCGGCAUCGUCCUCACCUCUCCCAAAGGCGACAAACUCAGAUACACGAUGAAGAUACACUUCGCCGCCUCCAACAACGUGGCCGAGUACGAGGCGCUCAUACAUGAGCUCCGGCUAGCCAAAGAGCUCGGCAUACGCCAGAUCCUGUGUUAUGGCAACUCAGACUUGGUGGUCCAGCAGUCGUCUGGCGACUGGGACGCCAAGGAUGCAAACAUGGCGAGCUAUCGAUUCCUCGUCCAGCAGAUCAGUGGGUACUUCGAGGGGUGCGAGUUCCUUCACGUACCAAGGGCCGACAACGACCAAGCAGAUGCCCUGGCACGGAUCGGCUCCACCCGACAGGCUAUACCAACCGGCGUCUCCCUCCAGCGCCUCCUCAAGCCGUCCAUCAAGCCGUCUCCAGAGUCGGACUCUAUCUUCGUACCGCCUGUCCCCGAUGCAGCCGGAUCCGACUGGAGGAACCCCGCAGGCGGCACGGGGACUUCGACAACUGGCCCGGGGACUGCCGUAGUCGCACCCGGCUCGGGGACUUCAGAACCCGGCCCGGGGACUGCAGCAGUCGGCCCGGGGAGUGCAGCAACACAAGGAGCGGUGGCCGACUCCAAUUCCACGCCACCCGACCCACCCACCCGAGUCAUGGUGGCCGCACUAACAGAAGAAGAAGUCACAGCUCCAUCUCGGGCCCAGCCCAUCCUCAAAUUCCUAGUCAGCAGAGAGCUGCCGGCCGAUGAGAUCUCAGCAAGACUAGUGCAACGACGAGCCGGAGCAUAUGCAAUAAUCAACAGAGAGCUUGUCAAGCGCAGCGUCACUGGAGUCUUCCAGCGCUGUGUCGAGCUAGAAAAAGGAGUGGCAAUCCUCAAGGAUAUCCAUCAAGGCGAAUGUGGCCACCACGCAGCCUCGAGAUCACUUGUGGCCAAAGCUUUCCGCCACGGUUUCUUUUGGCCGACUGCUUUGGAAGAUGCCAAAGAGAUAGUCAAGAGCUGCAGAGGAUGCCAAGUCUUCAGUUCCAAGCAACACCUGCCGGCUUCUGCACUCAAGACCAUUCCCCUCACCUGGCCCUUCGCCGUCUGGGGAUUGGACAUGGUGGGCCCUUUCAAGACAGCCCACGGCGGCUUGACACAUCUGCUUGUCACCGUGGACAAGUUCACAAAGUGGAUCGAAGCAAAGCCAAUCAAGAAGCUGAACGGGCCUACUGCCGUGACAUUCAUCACCGACAUCACUACUCGGUACGAUGUACCGCACAGCAUCAUCACCGACAACGGCACAAACUUUGCCAAAGGAGCACUGGCACGUUUCUUCGCGACGCAGAGUAUCCGACUGGACUUAGCGUCCGUUGCCCACCCGCAGUCAAACGGCCAGGUCGAGCGAGCAAAUGGACUCAUCCUCUCCGGCAUCAAGCCCCGACUAGUUGUACCACUGGAGCGAUCGGCCGGCUGCUGGCUCGAUGAGCUGCCGGCUAUCCUCUGGAGUCUGCGUACUACCCCCAACAAGUCAACUGGCUUCACUCCAUUCUUCCUCGUAUAUGGUGCCGAGGCUAUCAUCCCAGCCGACAUCGAGUUCGACUCGCCUCGGAUCACCAUGUACACGGAGGCCGAGGCCAAGGAAGCGCGAGAAAACGGCGUCGACCUGCUGGAAGAAGGCCGGCUGUUGGCACUCAGCCGAUCCGCCAUCUACCAGCAGGGGUUGUGUCGCUACCACAACCGCAAGGUCAAGCCAAGAUCUUUCCAAGAGGGCGACCUUGUGCUCCGGCUGAUCCAGCGAACAGCCGGCCAGCACAAGCUCUCGGCCCCUUGGGAAGGCCCUUUCGUCAUCAGCAAGGCACUAGGCAACGACUCCUACUACCUGAUCGACGCGCAAAAACCAAGAGCACGCAAGAGGGACGACUCCGGCAAGGAGUCGGAGCGACCAUGGAACGCGAACCUCCUGAGAAGAUUUUACAGUUGAAAGCAGUAUGUAUCAAGCUACCCUUUUGUAUUAAGUACGAAACAACAGGCUCCCCUAGGAGCACUCAGGGAUUGCCUUCAGUUAUCUAUGAGUGACGAGUGUCAUAUCCAUGAAUGUAUUAUUACAUUUGAUUUCCUGUCUGGCACCGGGUUCGACUAGUUGGCCCGGGGACUGGUCGCCUUAAGCUAUAUUAAAAGUUCUACCCGAAGUCAGACAAGUAGUGUGCCGGCCACCGAGUCCUCUCUUGUUGAAAGUCGCAGCUCGAAGAACCGACUGUCCGACUAGCAAGAGCCAAGGCAGAAAGGAUGCCCACACGAAAAACGGCUAAGGACUAAUGAACUUAUAUAGCGAAAAGACGGCCUCCAACCAUGCUUGCCGGCUGUCAGAACAGCCGGCUGGCGGGCUUCCCAAACACUUAGCUAUAAUCCAACAAAGCUAGAGUACUUGCCCUCCCAAUUGGCCAAGCACUUCUCCAGCCACAGAUUGCAGAGCAACUGUCUGACUGGGGAGGCGGCAACCAAGGGAGGGCGGCAAAGGAAACAGCAGAAGGAUGAAAAGCAAAGAACAAGGAAAAGCCAAACACAUGCAUAGUCAUAUAUACACAUAAAGCCCCCAACAGGCCGGCAAUCGACAUAGUUCGAAUACACCCCCAGUGGGUGGAAUUGUGCAAACUUAACGCAAUAUUGUUCCAAAAGUGAUAAAACAGGAAAAUAAAAGAUAGCAGACUAGACUAAAGGCGCAGUGCGGGAGCCGGGUUGGUCGGUAGAGACGGCGUCACCGGCUGAAGGAGUGGCCGACUGGCGGGUCUCGGCUUGGUCACCGCCGGUAGCAGGCGGCGCGCCCGCGCGUGCCGUGUUACUGGAGGCGCGGUCAGGCUGAGGCUGGCCGGCCGCUCCACCAUCCGGCCCGGCGUCUUCACCCUCCUCCUCCUCCUCUUCGCCCUCGUCACUUGAGUCGAUCUCCUCCGCCGAGUCUUCACCGUCUGCCGGGUUCAGCCCGAACCACUCCUCCGGCUGGGCAACACCGUUGUCAUCUACCUCAGGGGCGAAGGCGCUGGUGUCGGUGUGGUCGGCGAUCGCCGAAGCCCGCCGGAUGAUAGCCGGCCGCGCCGGCUCCAGCUCCGUGUCGGCCUGCUGCCGCCAGGUAGCCAGCUGGUCCAGACUCAGGCCGGGAUACUAGGCCUUGACGAACUCCAGCGCCGCCUGGCGCCGGACCGAGCCGCCGAAGCCUUCCAGGCUUCAAAGCGGCCGACCGCCACCUCCAGCCAGUUGGCAGUCCGACUGGGGGUGCGGGGAACCACUUCGCCGGGCCAGAGGGCGGCCAACACCUGCGCCCCAGCACGUUGAAGCCGGCGGUGCAGUCGGUGAGCCGGCUGGAGGCGGGCCUGGAUCGCCAAGAGCUGCUCCUCCAGCGAACGACUGGCGUUUGGCGCAAUCUCAGCGCCAGCCUGCCUCUGUGCCUCGCGGCGGGCCUCGAUGAUCUGGUUGGCGGCGGUAGAGUAACCAGGGAAGUACUCUGCGCAAGAAAGAAAGAGAAAGAAGAGAAAACACCAAGUCAGAAAACGUGCCAAAAGCGGCAGGCGGCAAGAAAGGACGAAGAAGUAGGCGGCUUACCGUAAACCAAAUCUUCGAUCUGGCCAUAGCCAUUGAUCAGCGUCUGCUUUGCUUCGGCCCAGCCAGCCGCCUCUGUCUCGUACUCGGCCUGGAGGGCAGCUUCGCUGUCCUACACCGCCUUCAGAGCCGCCUUGUGGCUCUCCUCCUGGUCGGCCAACCUCUUGGCCAGGCGGUCACGUUCCUGCACCAAGGCGGCAAACUCGGCCUCCUUGGCACGAAGGGCGGCCUGAGACCCUCCCAGCUGCUCCCUUAGACUGGCGUUGGCCGCUGCAGGGACGGCAGAGAAAGAAGAAGCAAUAAGAAGAAGUCGUCAAGGAAGAUCCGACCCGACUGCUCAGCAGUCGGCCCGAAUCUCGGGGACUACACCCAGUGGGUGCGCUGACGCGCUCCCACGUGAGAUAAAGGAUGAAGCACUUACCCCGGCUCUCAGAUAGGUCGGCGGUCUUCUGGGUCAGCUCCCGAGCCUGGGAGUUGAAGGCAGCCGCGUGUAGAUUGUGGUAGUCCUGCAAAACAGGCAGAAGAGCGAAGUAAGAGCAAGAAUAGCAAAACUAGAUCCACUAAGAAGUUCCAAGCCGCCUGCUCAGCAGCCGACUCGGAACUCGGGGACUACACCCAGUGGGUGCGCUGACGCGCCCCCCACGGAAGAAACCAAGAUCAAAAAGAAGCAAGAUAAGAAGACUAACCCGGAUGGCCGCCCACGUCGCAAAGAACUCGUCGUUGUAUUUCCUCAGCGCCGUAGCCUGGGCUUGGAGCCAGGUCCGGACGUCCUGCGCGGCCACAUUCAUCACGGCCGUCCCUCCGCCCGGCGUCCACCCCGAGCUGGCGCUGGCCGCCUCCAUAUCCUGGGCCGACGAGCUGGAGCCCGCGGCCGGCUGCGGCUCCGAUGCAGCCUUCUGCGGCCCUGAGGCGGCCCUCCCCGCGCGCUGGCGCGACGACGACCGGACCGCCAGAUCAGUCCUUGCGGCCGGCUCGCCCCCGGCCGACUCCGCAGGCGGCAGAUCAGGCCCGCCGCCUUGAGCCGCCCUAGUCGGCGGGGCCGGUGCCGCCACCCUCUCCAGGAUGACGAUGUCGUCUUCCCUCUCCAGCCCCGGCUGGUCACUGCCGGCUCCUUCUGGCGAGGGCUCUGGGGCCCCAGGCGCCUCAACGCGCAGUGGGGUGACCAGCAAGGCCUCCUCCGCCAUCGCCGCAGGCGGAGCCUCCGCUUGGGCCUUGGCCGUGGCGUCAUCGCGCGCCUUCGUCGCCUCCUCCUCCUGCGCCGCCUUGGCGGCAGCCGCCCUCAAUGCCUCCGCCUCCAGCGCCUCCCGCUCCUCCUGCGCCUCCCACGCGUUCUGCUCCAUCGCCGCCAGAAGAUCGGCACGAUGGUCCACGCGGCGAGUAGUGCUCCCAGAUCCCCCCGGCGACCCAACGACGGAGGCGGCAGCAGCCAGCUCGAGCGACAAUGGAGCCCUGGUUUUUUGGAAGAAGGACAAGGACUCAGGAGCUACCAGAGAAAAGAAAAAAGAAUACAUGAAGGAGUAUAUACUUACGCCGACACCGUCUGCGGCUGCUUCACCGCCUUGCGGAAGCGGGUCGCCUUCGCGGCCGCCUCCUCCCGCCUGGUCGGCGCUGCCCCGCCUCUGGGCUUCUUCGGCCGACUGCCGAAUAAACCCGGCGCGGCACGACGCUUUUGCUCGCCGCCCCGAGCAGGCGGCGUGGCGGAGGAACCCGCGCCGUGGCCAGGCGCCGGCUGGCGGCAUGGGACGACUUUAGCCUCGUCAUCGUCCGGCCAGUCGUCGAAGCUGACUCCAAGCCCGGAGCCGCCUGCCUCGCCGCCGGCUUGGCCACCGCCCGCCUCGGUGUUGUCGUCCAUAGAGGCCGCCCCUAAGUCGGGGUCCUCCAAAUCAUGCUCCGUACGGUCGGGGACGAAUCGGCGUCCGCGUCCGACCCGCCUGCAGGCCGAAGAAGAGGGCUCUGCCAAGACAAGCCGACUAGUCGGAGUCGGCCAAAAGGAACUCGGCGACAAGACUGAGAGAAGAGAAAGAGAAAAAGAGAACAUACCGUGGGCGGCGGAUGAGCUCAGCAAUGUGGCUCCUUGCCGAACUGCCACUCUGCGGAGAGCUUGCAGUUCGCAAGGUAGUUCACCAUAUGGGCCACCUCGUCAUGCGGCAUGUCUUUGGUGCACAUCCGACUCGGAUCGAGCUGGCCGCUCAUCUGACAGAUCAGAUGAGGGCGGCUCUGGAGCGGGAGAACCCGGCACGUGACGAAGGCGGCCAGCAGGUCGGGCCCCGACAAGCCCUCCGACUGGAUCAUCACCCGCAGUCGGGCGACAGCUGCGGCUCCAGCCGGCGUCAGCGUCACGGCCCGAUUUGACCACUGGGGCCGCCUGCCUGCCGGUGGGCCGGCUACGUAAGCCGGCAGAUUGACGUAGUCGCCCUGUGGGGUGACGUUCUUCACGUAGAAGUAUGACUUUUUCCAUAGCUUCAACGACUGGAUCAGCGUGAUGACGGGGAAGGGGUUGUCGGCAGCCACCCUCCGCAUCGCGAUGAAGGCGCCACUCUGAGCUGGCACGCCUUGCAUGCGCGUGCCCAGCUUGGACUGGAAGAACUCCCCCCAGAGCUCAAGGGUGGGGAGGACGCCAAGGUAGCCCUCACACAAGGUGACGAAGGCGGACAGCAGCACCACUGUGUUCGGGGUGAGUUGGUGCGGCUGGAGUUGGUAGAACUCGAGGAAGGAGCGAAAGAAGGCGCCUGCGGGCAAGCCAAUGCCACGCAAGAAAUGCGAGCAGAAGACUACCCGCUCGCCUUCCUCCGGCUCCGGCGUAAUCUCCUUCGCCGGUGCAAGACGGACCUGCACCUUGUCCGCGCCGGGCAGCCGCCGCGUCUUGCGGAGGAACUCGACGUGAUCCUCGUGGACAUUGGAGCCGUCCCAAUCCCCGCCGUAUUGCAUCGUGGCGUGGGGCUGGCGAGAAUGAGCGUGCUGGCGGAGAAUCGAGUGGUAGAGCGGAGCGGCGGCGAGGCGCUGUUGAAAGAAAGGGCCGAAGGAAGGAGAUGGCGGAGAGAGGAAGACGUGCGAGCGCCUGCCUUUUUCCCCCUCCCCCUACUUAUAGCUUCGCCCAGGCGACGCCGAGGAGGCGAGACGUGGGAUUAACUGCGCCCACUCCCCCCACGCCCCGCGAUCAUUACGCCCUAAAGGCAUGCCGAAACCGCCGCAGGAAGACGUGCGGGCGGUUUAGGGCCGCAGGGAAUCCGCGCCUGGGCCCGGGCGUAGGCGUGGCGGGCCCCCGACCUGCGGCGACGUCCCGUCGCACGCGUGGGCUGGCAGGCUUUUUAGCCAAGGGAUGCCACGUGGUCCGCAGGCGGCAAGUGGCCGGCCCGCGGCCCGGUGCGCGCGCUGGCAGACUCCCGCCUUCCGACAUCGAAAUUUUUCGCCGAGACGGCGCGCCCGACCGAAGCCGGCUCCCAGCUGCCAGCUCAUCAAGAUAGGAAGCUGACCGAGCUUCUCAACUCCUACCCAACCUCGAAGCUCAAUCAGCUUCGGGGACUACUGUCGGAGUAAAUGGCCACGGGUAACCUAACCGACUACCCAUGGUUCUUCAAAAAUUAUCAGGCCGUUUGAGCCUUUGAGCGUUCGAAGCAUUGGGCCGACUUCCCCCGGCCGACUACCCCAGGAGCCGACUCGCUGGAGGCGACCCGGUCCCAGUAAACCUCCCCCAAGAUAGCUGCGAGAUGGCCGACUCUAGGAAGCUGGCGCCAAGAGGACCGACUUCCAAGAGCCGGCCAUGAAGAACGCCGACUCCAAGAAGCCGGCCAAGACCGCACCCACCAAAACUGCACCCACAUAACGGUGACAAGACGGGGCGUGGCCACAGUGCGGCCCACUACCCCCGAAACCCGAGGCAGGCGUGGCCACAGGACGCCGUACGGGUCAGCCACCUCCCGUCCGGCUUGGCACUGUAUCCAUGCUGGCCUCAACGUCACCCACGACAGACACCAGUACGGCCCGCGGGCGGCGGGCCCCUUUAGCCAGAGAGAGGCACGAAGGUGGCCUGGCCUCCUCCAGUCAGCCAGGGGCGUAGCCAGCCCCCAGAAACCGGCUACCCCCCUCCCUCGAAAUAGGUGCCACAUUAAGGAGACAAGACGAGGUAAGGUUAUAGUGAGAGCCCCCGAGGCGGCACACUGUAGCCACGCUUACCUCGACAAAGCCCUCGUCAUCAGGGGCGAGGCUACAGUGAGCAGCCGCCGACAAGACCCCCAGGCAGUGGGGCCGGCCUGUCGACCAAGAGGCCGGCAGCCGGCGGGACCCACCCGUCUGCGGGCCCCAAUGGCCGGUGGAGAAGCUGGCGAGCGCAGACACUGACGACUGGGACCCACGCCCAGCCGGAUUACAAUUGUACCCCUGAGGGGUAGGCCUAUAUAAACCCCCCGGGGCACCCAUGCAAAGGGUUGGCUGCUUAGAGUUACACACACAACAAAUAGAGAGGGAAGUAAGAGCUAGCCUUGCUCUUCUUCUCCCUUGAACCCGACAGCUCAAGGAGCAUUUGUAGUUACUCGUUCUGAUCUAGUGAUCAUGCGGAGACGCCGCAGAGCAGGACUAGGGGUGUUAUCUCCACGGAGAGCCCCGAACCUGGGUAAGAUUCGCCGGCGUGCAUGUCUUCGCCUCAUCCCGUUUCCAGGCACCGGCAACGUCUUACUGGCUCCCACAAUGAUAAGCCACCCGUUGGCAUAUGUCGCACCUACCACCCGACACAAGAUGCACAUCUCGUGUCUUCAACUACCACCCUAUUUUCUUUCAUGACACGACCUGGAUGCUGGAUGUCCCACGUGUCGGAAAAAGGAGGAAGAACCCGACCAAAUCUUCGGUUGCGCUCUCGGAUUAGACUAGUUGUGCUAACUUAAAAAAUUUAUUGUGUACUGCCUCCGUUCCAAAAUACUUGACUUCCAUUUGUCCAAAAAGGGAUGUACCUAUAUACUAAAACAUGUCUAGAUACAUAUAUAUUUUGACAAAUAGAAGGCAUGUAUUGUGCAACGGAGGGAGUAGAAUGGAUGCAAGUCUUGGUAUUGGGAAGAAGAGUACAUCCAUAUAUUGAUAGAGCGCAAUUUAGUAGAUGUUCUAGCACUUUUAGCUAGCAUAGAGGCUAGAGAUGAGACUAGUGCACUUGUUGAUACUCCUACUAGAAUAGAGGCUAGACAUGAGACUAGAUGCGAGGAAGCAACGUCUACUUCCCUUCUUUACACUCGAAGAAGAAAGAAGCACGCAAGAUCGAGCCUUCGCAGAUCAACAAUGAAUGCAUCGAGAAGGCACUAAUCCAACUUACAGGAGUAGUAAAAUGUGGUUCUUGUUUUCUUUGGUCUUGCUUGUCUAGUCAAAAUUAUCAUUGAAGUUCGUGCAAAACGGAGGUCCGUUUGGGGUCGUGCGUUGGAGUUGGCCUUACAAGUGGGACCGCAGUUGAGGAAACCGACUAUCGGCAAACUCCCACCUCGCCCGCCACGCGAUGGCUGAAGUUAGAGAAACGACGAGGUUGAAGAGAUUGCUCUAGCACGGAGUUUAAGAAAUAAUAUGGUGUCAGAUGGAUGUCGUGGUGGUGGCGUGUGCCGUACACCUGGACGUGAAUGCUUGUUCUGGCCCAUGCCAACCUACUACUCCUACUACUUACUAUAUACUACUAGUAUCGAGGAUUCGAGGUGCUGGUUACGUACAGCGAACACAUAUUAACAUAUGGCUACAGUAAAAACACCCGCCCGACGCGCGAAGCAUGUGAAGCUAGUACAAAUAGUGUACUACUAUUGUUGAUUGGCCUCAUCCGAUAACCUGUUGCAAUGCACAUACAAUUAUGUAUUCGGAAAAUAUAUUUUUGCCUCGUCGCACCACUCACUCAGAGAAGCAACUCGAAAGCCAUUCAUAAAUUUAGUAAGUUUAUCACAGGCAUGUCAUUUUAUUACAUACAGUAGGUCAUCAACCCACAUCGACAACAAGGAUACAUUAUAAAUACUAAAGUUUUCACCACACAACAAAUAAUAAGCAAUGAAAUGAACUUCAACUCAACCAUUCCUCGGCGUUGGAAACGCUUGCUUUGAACCACAAGUGAUUCUCUGGGACGGGCCAUCUAUUGUCGAUCUCGAGACCAAUGCAGGACUGAUCAUCCAGUCUGAAGCGGCCUACUAUAUCAGUACCAGGGUAGGGAACCACCCAAAUGUCCGAGGUAUAGACACAGUUGCUUCUCAUAAAUGGUACUAGUAACGUUGUGUCAACAGCAGUUGGAUCGCCUUUCACCAUCAUCGGAUAGUUUUGUCCAAGGAAGAGCGAGUUUUCUCCAAGACUAUCAAUUAUGUACCAGGGCGAAGGUGUUGGCGCUAGCACACUAGUAUCCAUCCCGAAUACCAUGCAACGGGUGUUGGAAUAGGUCCGGAGAGUGCGACCAUGGGAGGCAACACGUGCUCCCUCAAUAGUAACAAACUCAGUGCGUUGUAUACACACAAGAAGAGGUGAUCCAUCGGAAUUAGUUGCCAGGCACCACUGAGUAUAUACGUUCUGCUCGUCCUCAUGCUUGUGAUCAUCACCAUCAUCAUCUCCCCCUUGGUUAUAAAAAUUUUCAAGUAUAGGUGGUGGAAUGUUCACAGGACCUUGGAAACACAACAAGAAGGUUAAUUAGUAAAGGGAAACUUGCUAACCCACAUGCAUGUGGAUGAAUCAAUUAUAAUUACGAUGGAAGACAAAUGUACCGAAAGUAUAAGGAUUCCAUGCAAAAACAGUGCCACGAGUGGUGGCAGCAAACACAAGGCCCUCGUAUUGAAUUGCAUCACAGUACUCAUCCAUGUACAGAAACUGAUUUUUGAGCAAUAUCCAUCCAGUCAAACCACGAAGGACGGCAACAAGCUUGUCGAAGAUAGCAACAACUUCAUAGUUGUUGUAAUUCCAAGAGCGGUUGGGAACUCGACAAAUUGCUAUCUUCCAUAGAAGACAGUCACCAUGAUCGUAUUUGAACAUGCGUACAAUACCAGUGUGCUCAACCUCUGGGCAGUAUGCUGAGUUUUUUGGAAGUGGAACCCGGUCACGAGUGUACCGAUUCACAAGUUCCCACUCGCAGUUGGACCCAAUGUAAACAACCCAAUCUCCAUUUGCGUCUGCCCAAGCCUUACCCUCAAGCGAUGGCAUCUUAACAUCAUACGUAUCAUUAUCAAGCGGCAUCAACUUGCACAGGGCGAGGCCUCCGUCGUCCCAGCGCCAGUCAUCAGGGUCACGGCGAAGAAGAUAGGGGAGAUCAAACCGCUCCUUGACUCUUGGGUUCCUUGUAAUGAUGUUAUUAGUUGAGUUGAGAAUGGGCUUGAACGAACCUGCCAUGCUAGCCGAGGUGAUGACGUCGCACCGAUCAAUGAGUUCCUCCACCACGUCAUCUUUCAGAUCAGGGCAAGAAUAACGGGGUGGUUUUUGGCCUGUUCCCUCCAUGGAGAAGACGAUCGAACAAUGGCAGAAGAAAGGGUGAAGGGCUGAAGGAAAAUGGAGGAGGGAGAGGAAGAGCGUGCGACAGCAGUUCCAAAUCGAGAGGGAAAGGCGAAGAGUCGGUGGAUGGUUGCCAGUUUGCCACGGUUCACGAAGAGGCACCCCGACCUACACGUCCAUUCGGAAAUACUACUACUCGCCGUCGUCUCACUGAUAUGUUGGAACGGGACCACAUGUCAACGAAACAUGGUGCGGAAUUUCUCGUGCAAAAUGCGAGCUGGCCGCGUUGGCCCGAGGUGCCGCAUUAGUUAUCAACCUUUAUUUUUUUAAUGGCGUGCCAUUCAGUUUUCAAGCACGACUAACUGGUACUGUACGCAGAGAAAAUAUAAACUACUCUACCACUACUCCACCUCAAGUACUAGUAGUAUAAAAAAGAUAUAUAGGCCGGAGCUUCAGCGCUUUCUUGCUAAGGGCUGCCCACUUGCUUCUCACACUACCACCCUCUCUCCAGAUCUAAAAAAGACGGCCUCUCUCUCCCUCCUCACCGGUGGUCACAGCUCCGCCGGGGAAGAAAAGGAUGUGCAGCGUUGACGCACUCGUCGUCGGCGAGCGAGGUCACGCACUGAUGACAAGG